rnacentral:lncRNA from 1 species
CAAGGAAAGGGUCUUGCAUAGAAAUCGGUGAUCGUUUCUUAGCAAAUAUUGUUUUUUAUUUUUUUAUAUAGAUAAUCUGGGUGAAGAAUUAGAAAGCUCGUUUGUUUUGCUUAUAAACAGCAAUAUUUUCUUACAGAUAAUCUUUACACAGCUAUUUGAAAUCCAGAUUUAAGAGUUGGAAAACGGGUUCAAAUUGUCCUUUAGGUUUAGGAAUUGUUAAUGCUUCUUUCUUGAGUAUCAAGAAAACGGUUUUACUUGUAAGUAAACAGUAAUAUGUGUUCUCCAUAACUCCAAGAUCCCCUCAAAUACAAGUAACAAUAUUGUUUGUUUCAGAAACUAAUUAAGUCAUCAAAACUCACAAUCAAUAUACUUAAGCACUGAUGAGGGCUAAACGACAUUAUGUAUUUUAUGAUGACGACCAUGAGGAUACUGGAACUUAGGUGACCAUAAAAAAUAAAAUAUUUAUUUUCGGAAUAAAAUCUUUUGGUUUCUUUUUACUUGGCAUGCAUUAAAUUAUAACUUAAUCUAUCCCUCGAAUAGAUUAUUAUAACUUAAUAUUCUAUCUCUCGCAUAAAUUAUAAGUUAAAAGGUAACAAUUUGAUCCCAUAACACGAGCUUUGGCCCAAAUUGAAGCGAAUCGGUUCAGCUCCCUUCCCGCCUCCAUUUCAUGCGAAUCUUCAAGACGUGGGUUGAAUGCUGUCCCUCUAAUACUCUCAAUAAUAUGCGAAUCUUCAAGACGUUUGCCGUUGAAGAAUAGGGUUUGCUGGGAUACAUUUAUCCCUAGUAAAGUUUCAAUAUGUUGCUUUAUAGAUUCCACAGUCUCAGCCAGGCUCACCUUAAAAACUUUGUCAUUAUGCCCUUUACGCUCCACAACCAAGUUGUGGUAGUUCCUGAAAAUAAAACCUCAAAAUAAGGAUUUGUAUUGUUGUUUUAAUUUGUUUUUAAAUCAUUAAAAAAAAACAAUUAAGAAGAAGUGUUUGAGAAUGGGUAAUUAAGUCGCAUAAUAUAUGGGUCUUGCUUUGGAUUUUCAGAAGCUUUAUUUGGUGGUGCAAUUCAGGGAGCAACAUUACUGUACGUAACAACAAACAAAACAAAAAAGUAGGAUACAUACAUAAUUUCCAAACAUCUCCAUCCCCUCCCUUGCUACGCCUUCGUUACGGGAAUUGGCUUCUACUCUCAGAAGUUGAUUCUCCUCCUCGCCAACUGCAUUACCGUCAUUGGCUACUACUCCCUGAAGUUGAUCCUCCUCCUCGCCAACUGCGUUACCGUCAUUGGCUGCUACUCCCCGAAGAUCCUCCUCCUCUCCAACUACGUUGCCGUCAUUGGCUGUUACUCCCUGAAGAUCCUCCUCCUCUCCAACUACGUUGUUAGAAUUCUCUGUCUGUAUAGUAUUUUCAGAUUAGGAAGAGGUGUAUAUUCUGGAGCUUUUAGCUAGAGAGAAUGAAGAGAAAUGGGGAAGGCACUGUUCUAUUGAAUUCUUACAAUCUGCAGCUUACAUAGUGUGUCUGACAGAGAGAGAAAUGUGAUUCUCUCCUAACAGAAUUACAGCUGUCACCCUAUUAGGUGCUUAUACGUGUCAUACCAAAUCUAAGCUAGAGAAUCCACCUAGACUAUGAUCUAAUGGUUCUCAUUACAUCAUUUAAAAUAGACUUAACAGAAAAUAGAAAAUGACUUCAGCUCUAAGAAAUCUGUAGAAGGAUUAUAUUUCAACACUCCCUUCUAAUCCUUUAGCUGAUUUCACUCCAAGCAAGCUUCUCAACCUCACAAACCGAUCCUUAGGCAGAGCCUUAGUCAAAAUGUCUGCUAUCUGAUCUUCUGUCUUGCAGUACACCAGUUCAAUUUCUUUUGCUUGAAUGGCUUCCCUUAUAAAAUGAAAUUUCCUGCUGAUGUGUCUUGUCUUUUGGUGAUGAACUGGAUUCCUUGCCAUUGCAAUUGCAGAGGUGUUGUCACAUAGAAUUGGAGUCCCUUCUACCUGUACUUCACCAAAAUCUUCAAGCACAAAUCUGAGCCACUUAGCUUGUGAAGUUGCUUCUGCAGCACUCACAUACUCAGCUUUGGCUGUAGAUAAAGCAACUGUGUUUUGCUUGAUGGAAUCCCAAGAGAACAUGCCUGAGCCUAGUGUGAAGGCAUAUCCUGAGGUACUCCUCAUAUCAUCCUCACUCCCAGCCCAGUCACUGUCGCAAUACCCAAUUAGAGUAGCUGUUUUCCCCUUUGCAAACUCAAUUCCAAAAUCUAAUGUGCCUUGUAUGUAUCUCAGCACCCUUUUAGCAGUUCCCAUGUGUUUCUUUGAGGGAUUGUGCAUAAACCUGGCAAGCAAGCUAGAUGCAAACAUGACAUCUGGUCUUGUGGCAGUUAGAUAAAGCAGACUUCCUACAAUCUGUCUGAAUUCAUUUUCAUCUGCUGCUUCACUUCCAUCUUCUCUACACAAUUUCUCAUUCACCACUAAUGGAAUUGCCACUGACUUGCAGUCUCUCAUUCCAAACUUCUCAAGAAUUUUCAUGGCAUAUUUCUUUUGAUGAAUGAAAAUAUGCUUAUCAGUUUGUUCCACUCCCAUGCCAAGAAAAUGGUGUAACAGACCCAAGUCUGUCAUCUCAUAGUGUUGCAUCAUAUCUUGUUUAAACUCUUCAAGCAUUUUAGGACAGCUUCCAGUAUAUAUAAUGUCAUCUACAUAGAGUGAGACAAUGAUAAUACCUGAGGUGUCACUUGUUUUGAUAUAGAGAGUAGCUUCACUUAAGCUCUUCUUAAAACCUGCAGUGUUGAAAUAGGCAUCUAUUUCAUCAUACCAGGCCCUUGGGGCUUGUUUCAGUCCAUAUAGAGCCUUGUUCAACCUGUAUACCUUGGUUUCCUUGCUCUCUUGAACAUAUCCUUGAGGUUGUUCAACAUAAACUUCCUCCUUUAGAAUGCCAUUGAGAAAGGCAGACUUCACAUCCAGUUGAAAUAGGUUCCAUUCCUUUUGUGCUGCAAGGGCUAUCAAGGUUCUGAUGGUGUCAAGUCUUGCCACAGGGGCAAAUGUCUCAUUAUAGUCGAUUCCAGGCUUCUGUGAAUAGCCUUUAGCCACAAGCCUAGCUUUAUUCUUCUGCACAGUACCAUCUAGGUUCAGUUUGACCUUGUAGACCCACUUAACACCAAUUACUGGUUUGUCAAAUGGCCUGUCAACUAAUUUCCAUGUAUUGUUCUUCUCAAUCAUCUCGAAUUCAGCCUCCAUUGCACUUCUCCAUGAUUCAUCCAAAUCUGCUUCUUCAAAGCUGUCAGGUUCUAUAAUGCACAUGUUGCAUUAUGUCAUGAUGUCAUUAAUACUCCUCCACUUGUGAGGUGUGUGAUCAAACCUUUGAGUCUCAUCAAGCAUUUCUUCCCCUUGAGGUUUAAUUUCUUCUUCCAUCUGCAUUUGAGUAUCCAAAAACUGAGAUUGUUCAUCUAACACCCUCUGUUCAGUUUCUGCAGUACCUUGAUUUCCAUUUGGCAUAGACAUUCUCACAUCUGCAUUGCUAGGAUUCUCCCAUUUCCAUGAGGCUUCUUCAUCAAAAUAGACAUCCCUAGACAAGAUAAUCUUUCUAGUCUUAGGAUCAUACAGUCUAUAGCCUUUUUCACACAAUCCAUAGCCCACAAAAAUGCAUUUGUGACUGUUUUCUUCCAACUUGUGUCUCAAAACAGAAGGAAUAAGUACAUGACAUAGGCAUCCAAACACUUUCAAGUGUGCAAUACCUGGCUUUCUUCCUGUGUAGGCCUUAAAUGAUGUCAUUUUCUUAAGAGACUUAGAAGGAUACCUGUUGAGAAGGUAGACUGCUGUAUGAACAGCUUCUGCCCAAAACUCAUAUGGAAGACUCUUUUCAUGUAGCAUAGACUUUGCCAUCUCAAUUACAGUCCUGUUCUUCCUCUCAACAACUCCAUUUUGUUGAGGGGAAUAUGCUACAGUCAGCUGCCUUUGUAUUCCAGCCUCACUGCAGUAUGCAAGAAAUUCAUUUGACAUGAAUUCUCCACCUCUGUCACUUCUAAGUGAUUUCACCUUGUGUCCACUCUGCAAUUCUGUCAUUGCUUUGAACUUCUUGAAACAUUCAAAAGCAUUAGAUUUAUUUCUGAGAAAAUAAACCCAAGCCAUUCUUGUAUAGUCAUCAAUGAAUAACAGGAAAUAUCUGUUUUCUGACAUUAAUGCAAUCUGCAUUGGACCACAGAUGUCAGUGUGAACUAAUUCAAGUGGAAACUGAGCUCUCCAAGUAGAUUCUGCAGGAAAUGAGUCUCUAUGCUGCUUUCCCAGCUUGCAGCCUUCACAAACUGCAAAAUCCUUCUCCAGACUAGGCAGUCCAUGAACCAUGUCUUGAUUUGCCAGCAUCCUGAUGCUUUGAUCAUUAAGAUGGCCCAGCCUUUUAUGCCAAGUCUGCAAACUGUGAGUCACACUUGCUCUCAGCACCAACUGAGUAGCAGGUACCAUUGUGAGAGAGAAACACCUAUUGCUAGUCAUUGGAACCUUAGCUAUAGGAUUUUGCAGUGACCAAUCAUCAAAAAUUGUCACCAUUCCCUUUCCAAAUACUAAACAAUACCCAUGUUCCAUCAUCUGACCAACACUGAGCAAGUUCUCUUCUAAACCAGGCACCAACAUCACUUCUUGUGUGUUUUCUGCCUGUCUUGGUUUCUAUCACAAGUGUGCCUUUUCCUGCAACUUGAACUGUCUCUCCAGUCCCCAUUUUCACCUUAGAAGUUACAUCCCUUCGAAUAUCUAUCAGUAGCCUUUCAUCUCCAGCCAUGUGGUUACUACAACCACUGUCCACAUACCAAGAAUUGUUCAAUUUCACACCUGUCACGGCAUUGCAUGCAUAAAACAAUGUUCCAGUUACUUCAACCUGAUUGGCAUAAUUCACCUUCUGCACAGGUUGAUUUCCAUGGCAAUCUCUAACCAUGUGACCAAACUUUCCACAUCCUCUGCAUUUUGGUUUUCCUUCAAACCAGCACUUGCCAUAGUGCAGUUUUUCACAGUGCUUGCAAGGUGUUUUAGUUCCAUCAUUUGAUGCAUUUGGUUUGGGAUUAGAAUUGGACUUGUUAUUCCAAUUCUUCCCAUUUUCCUUCCAGUUCCUCUGAGACUUGUUACCUCCAGAAGAACUUCCAUUCUUAGAGCUUUUACUCUCUAUGUUCAGGCUAGUAAAAGCCUUUUCUGUGGAAUUUUCAGUGUGCCUAUCCAAUCUGAGCUCAAAGUUCUUGAGAGACGCAACCACUUCUUGAAUUUCAAGAGUGUCAAGAUCCUUUGAAUGCUCAAUCACAGAACAUAUAGAGUCAUAAGAUCUAGGCAAGCUAAUAAGUAAUUUCUGCACAACUCUUUCUCUAGGUAACUCUUCACCAUAACUUUUCAUUUGAUUAAUUAGAUCAAACAGUUUAGCAACAUAACCAGAUAAUGACUCACUAUCCUUCAUACGAGUGUAUUCAAACUCUCUACGUAAGCCUUGUAGCUUCACACUUCGUACCUGUUUAUCGCCUCUAAACUCCUGCUUCAGAAUAUCCCAUGCACCUUUUGAGGUUUCUUCAUUCACUAUUUUGGGAAAAAUUUGGUCUGAGACUGCACCUUGGAUCAGUCCAAGUGCACGAGCAUCUUUCAUCAAAAUCUCAGCCGAUGUAGACUUCUCUUCUUCAGCAGCUUUAGAUCCUUCUUCCUUUCCUUUUUCCUUCUUUGGAUCUGAAGCAUCAAAACCAUGUUCAACCAAAUCCCACAGUCCAUGAGAUUUCAGAAUGGUCUUCAUUCGAAUGCUCCAAAACUCAUAGUUUUCUCCAUUGAAAACUGGUGUAAGAAGCUCGGAAGAGCUUGAUCCUGCCAUGUUAGACAUCAGACGCAGCUAGAAAAGCUUCGUGAAGUUUUGAGUGAGCUCAACGUCAGCUCAGCCAAACACCAGCUCGAUUCUCACAAAUUCACGCCCAACAAACAAUCGAACCUGGCUCUGAGGCCAUGUUAGAAUUCUCUGUCUGUAUAGUAUUUUCAGAUUAGGAAGAGGUGUAUAUUCUGGAGCUUUUAGCUAGAGAGAAUGAAGCGAAAUGGGGAAGGCACUGUUCUAUUGAAUUCUUACAAUCUGCAGCUUACAUAGUGUGUCUGACAGAGAGAGAAAUGUGAUUCUCUCCUAACAGAAUUACAGCUGUUACCCUAUUAGGUGCUUACACGUGUCAUACCAAAUCUAAGCUAGAGAAUCCACCUAGACUAUGAUCUAAUGGUUCUCAUUACAUCAUUUAAAAUAGACUUAACAGAAAAUAGAAAAUGACUUCAGCUCUAAGAAAUCUGUAGAAGGAUUAUAUUUCAACAUACGUUACCAUCAUUGGCUGCUACUCCUUGACCGUGAUGGGGAUCUUCGCCAACCACGUUAUCAUCACUGACUGCUACCUGACCCUCAACAACGGUUCUACCACCGUAAUAAUCAUCUAUGAAUACACCGUCAUAUUUAAGUUGUUUGUAAUAUGAUGGUGAUUCUUGUCCAGGUUGUUCAUCCGUUGUACUUAAAAUCACAAACUAUAUUUAUGAAGUAAGAAAGAAAAGAAGCAACAAUGAAAAAGAUAUGAUCGAGAAGAGAAGCUUGUGUGCAUGCACAAUGGGGGUAGAGAGAGAGGGCUGUAUAUAUAAUAGCUCUGUGAUCAAGUAAAUCACUAUCUAUUUCUUCUUUUUCCUUACUGUUUUGGGAUAAUAGCUCCUGACUUAAUUACACUUUUUGAUAUAUCCCAGUUUGUUUUGGGAUAGUAGCUCCACACUUGCCCUUUUUUAUAUGGCGGCUUGGGAUAGUAAAGCUCCUCACUCGCCCUUUUGGAUAUCCAGUUUGGUUUGGGAUAACAGCUAGCCCCUGACUUUGGAGUACAUACCAAACUAUCCCAAAUAAGUGUCUUGAAUGGUUGUGCCAACAGCGAUUCCUAUAGAAGCCCAAAUGUGUGCUAUUGGUUUGUCUUUGGCUGUUUUUAAAAACAAAAAGCAAAUCAAAAUUAAAAAAGAAAAUUUUGAACCCAGCAUUGGUCUGUUCAGCAUAUGUGUUCCAAAAUUGACCAUGUACCCACACCAAAUCCAACCCUUCUAAUGCAUCAAACCCAGGAAAACAUAUUGUUCAAACCUAACCCACUAAGCCACCACCGCCUCGCCACCGCUCUCCUGAUUCACUGCCAUUGCAGAUAUAUGUUUUCCUUGCUUAAUCUUAAUAUCCAUAUGAGAACAAAUUUUUUUUCUUUUUCUUUCUGAUCAUAUAUCUUCAAUAUUAUUUGAAUGCAAAAAAUAUAGCCACAUUUAUGGCCAUAUAGUUGAUCGUGGAAUUUUCCUUGGGCAAUAUAUGUGGAUAUUUAUUGUCUUUUUUAUCUGUCUCAUUGACCUCUUUGGGGAGCCGGCGGUCUUGAGUCCUACUGAAGCCAUUUAUGGGGGUGUGCAAAGUGUAUGAAACAACGAGUCGUUUUAUGGUGAGGGUGUCAUAUAUGGAUUAUAGAUGUUGACUUCUAUUUUAGCCACAUGAUUCAUCUGAAUAGUAACCUCACUUAAGUUUAAUAUGAAAUGAUCUUGUGACUAAUAUGAAGGUCCGAAGGGUUCAUAUUUGGCAUAUACGGAACCGCGAUCGAGGGAGGCUUUUCUUCUUUCCUCGGCUUUCCUCACUUUAUCGCACUCGAUGAAACGGAGAGCAAAAGAACCUUAACUUUAGCAAACUAAGAGACAAACAAGGAUGGGAAGCUACUCACCCUCGUUUAGUAGAACCUAGUGAGGGAAAAGCACCCGCUGCUCUUGCUAUAAUAGUAUUAUAGUAAGGCACGCUACUCCUUCCUUUAGGAACAAUGGCCGACUAGUCUCUUACACAAGUAUUGAUGGAGUCGUACGCAUAGCUCCCUGUUUCUUUUUUAGUGUACAUACCUCGGCUCGGGGUUUAUUCUUUAUUAAUAAGUGGUUUAGCACCUCACUAUAAAAUUUCGCAUGAAAACAUAGUAAUAUUAGCAAAAUGGGCUGCAUGAAAGCCUUUUGCAUUGGAGCCUAAUAAAGUCGGGAAUUAUACUCGCAACGCAAAAGCCUGUAGAUUCAGUAUUAUCAAACCAAAAUCCAACGUCGGAAUUACCGUAAUGUCAUAGAAAAAUAAAACAUAUUUCCACCAAACUCUCACUGCAUUAUGCUGCAUUAAUUAAAAUAAAAAUAAAAGCUGUAUAGGUGAUGAAUUGAGAAAAGCCAACAAACUAUCUCCCAUCUGUCGUCGUCAAUACACAAAUAAAGGACUUGCCCUCCUUUCAUUUAUGUUAGUCUUUUUUCCUUCAAUAUUUCAAUUAUUAUUCUACGGGCUAGAUGGCAGACCAGAGAUAGCUUAUAGAGGCAAAAGCUGGUUCAGCACUUACACGAUGGGAUCCCCAAAAGUUAAAAACAAGAGCUGCACUGCACUCUGAUCUGAUUGGUAGAGUAUAUUAUUAACUACUGUACGUAGAUGAUAUUGAUUAGUGAAAGAAUUAAACACUUGAUUACAUCGAAACACAACAAAUUAAGCAUCUCAACAAGUAAAUAAUAUAUUUCUAAAAUACAGAAUCCAUCCUUCAAUUCCUAGUUUUUUAGUUAUAUAAUUGAUCAUCUUGUAGUGUAGUGUAAACUCAUGGACUAAACGACCACAAUUGGAGCAGCAGAACCCAACAUUCAAUCUCUCAACCUCCAGAUUAUUCAUCAUAAUCUCAACCCCUCAACGCCCUUAAUUGCUUGAACAUAAUUUGCAAGCCUCUUUACACGAUGUGCCGGAGGCAUAUUAUGAACAAUGCAGUCUUCCACAAUACUCCUAACUAGCUUCAAUCCUUUAAUUGGACCCAUCGCAGCAACCAUGUCAUUCUAUUCAUUUACAAACAAAUAAAAAAUCAUUAGAAGUCAUAUUUCUCUUCUCACUCCACCUGUGUAGGAGGAACAAAUAAAAUAAAUUUACAAAUUUGAGAAUGUGAAGGUAAAAAGUUCCACAUUGAAAAGUUAGAAAACCUUGUAAGGACUUAUAAGGAGUUGGGCUACUCACCCAAUUACCAAUUGGUUUUGGGGUGGAACCUCAACUUCCUUCAACAAAUACAAUGAUCAAAAGUAGGGAAAAAACACUAACAUUUGGGCGGAGAUAAAUGGAACAGCCUGUCAGUUUUUCAAGUUCCUGCAUUCCAAUUACAUUAUGAGAAAAGAAUACAUAAACGACAAGCAGAAAAAAGUAAACAUGAUAUAGAACACUUGUAUGCACCUGUAUCGGGAGAGUCGUGAGCAGUUUCUUCCGGGAAACAUACUUAUCCUGCAUAAACACAUUACAAGAUAUUAGAAAAAAAAAAGAAGAAGAAGCAAAUAACUGAGCUUUUGCAUAUUUCCAUCAUUACGGAGAGCUCAGGCUCUUCAUGUGAUAGAGAGCAUAACACCAGAAGUUUUUUAACACCAUCAUCAUUACAGACAUCCAAGAAGUUUUUUAAUACAAGUGAUAUUCUACUUUAAUUUAAUCCAAACUAUGCGGAGGGGGAUUCGAACACGGAUACAGAGUGGGAAUAAGUCAUAUUUUAUUGUCACAUUAAUUCUUUUAUCACCACACCCUAACCAAUUGUAAACCUUUUUAAAUUCAAAUGUCAUGCUAUAUAGUACUCUUGAAAAUUUAAUGAUUCUGCAUCAUAACUACAGAAGAAUGCUUAUGAGAACAUAAAUAACUACACACAAACAAAAAUUGAAGGAAAUUUAAGAAAUACCCACCGUCUUGAUCCCAAAUUUUGAGCAAAGCCCACCUAAAUGAUACCCAGUGUAGAUAAGGUAACAUGGCAUUCCGUACGUUACUUUUAAUGCCUGGAUCAAAAUGUUGCACACUCAAAUCAGAAGUUCAUUAAAUAGAAGAAAGCUCUAUAAAAUAAAAAAGAAAGAAAGAAGAAGAAAUCAGUUCAAUGAGAACAGAAAUCCUUGGAGGAUUCAAGCAGAAAGGAAAAGUCACAAUAAGUUUCUAUAAUUAAUAGUAGAUAAAUUGAACUUGAGCUUUCCAUUGAGAUGUAAAUAUUCUAAAAUAAAAUAAAUAUAUAUGCGAUUACCGUGAGAGAAAAAGGAAUAAUCACUCUUGAAGAAUAACUCGUAGGUUACCAUAAGAAACAAUAAGAAAAUAUUUGACAUUUGUACCUGACGUGGAGGAACUUCUGCUGCCAAAAGUCGGAUAAGAUAUCUAGAAUUGAGAAUAGCGUAUGGGUCCUUAGCCCUGGUUGUUGUGAAUGUUAUGAAAAACUGAUCCUAAACAUGAUAAUAAAAAUAAAAAACAACUUAAUAUGUGCAUAAGCAUAACUAAAACUACUCAAUAUGAGAAAAAAAUAAUCAUACAUGGUUUGAAAAACAAAAACACUAAUCCAUAUAGUUCAACAUUUAUUAUAAAAUACCAUAUCCAAUUCACAUGAAAUGCCAUAUUCUUCUAAAGAUGAUUCCAGCACCGGCCACGCUUCUUGCAAAUCUGUUGCUGUUAAAAACCAUGCAGAGACUCAUAAGUAAGAAAGAUUUGUUCUUUAACAUAAUUAUCAUAGUAAUAAUCACAUUUGCUGGCCCGCCCCACUUCAGAUUUAAAACUUAAAAAUAAAUUAAAAAGGUUUGUCCUAAAAUAAGUUUGAACCCCAAUGGGAAAAUCCCUCCAUGCCCCACCUCAUCUCCCAUUCCAGGACUUACUCCAGUCACCCUUCUCUCUCCUUUGUCUUUCUUCUAAUUAUUUGGUUCUUCUAGAUUCUUUUAUCUUGCUCACAGCCCACCCCACCCUACCACAAUCAGCGGCUGCUUCUGCUUCUUCUUCUGUGAGUUCCCUGCGGCCUCUGAUAAAUUUAUUGCCUAUGGAUUGUUUUAGGAUUUUUUUUAUUUAUUUAUAAAUUUUUGGUUUCUGGUUUUUGUCUGAUUUAGGGUUCUAAAUUAGCAUAAGUAUUGUUUAGUCAGGGUUAGAUUAUGCUUUCACCUAGGGAUUCAAAUUAGGCUAUGACUUUGGGGUUGUUUCUUUUAAAUUCUCCCAAAAAUAUCAUAAUCGUUGCUAGAACGAAAAAAGAAAAGGAAAUUUUCAUGAGCAGGCUAACAAAACGGAAAAAAUAAGAGAAUAAGAAGAGAGAAAAGUACUCGAGCGUCUACGAAAAGGCAUAAGGAGAAUGCUGUAAUCAAUUGGGCUAUCUUUGUUCGAUGCAGGGGGGCCAGACUUGUCCAUCUCCAUGUGGUUGAUGCUUGGAUGUUCACUUUGUUAUUCAUCGCUCUUGUUUUGAAACCCUAGGCACAGACAGAGAAUGAGUUUCUGCAGUGAAUAAUAAUAGGGUAAAUUUUAUUUUACUACCCGGAUGUUUACCAAAGUUAAGAGUUUAACUACCUAAGUAAAGGACCUAUUAGUGUGGUAGUUUGAAGUAUUUACUCCCUCAGGCAAGGUUCUGGGUUCAAGUCCUAGCAACCGUGUUGUGUAUGUGAGUUUAAUAUGCUAUCGCCCCUUUCAAUAGGAAAGGUUCUUUUAAAAAAAAAAAAAAAACUAAAGUUUUUUUUGGUGUCAUAUCCAAAAUGAAUCCGGAUCCUCUGCUUUGAUUUUCUCUAUCAUAAUUUGCUUAACUUUUCACCAUAUGACACCUCAUUAAAAUUUAAUAUAAGAGAUUUAAAGUUUGACACGUCAUCUCUAAAAUAAAAAUCUAAUUUACCAUUAAUUAAAAAACAAAAAACGAACCCUAAUUGAACUAUCAAGAAACUUAAGUCCUGCAAUUUUUUUUGGUAUCUCCUUUCUCUUCUUUCGUUCUCUACAGCUUUUCAACCCAAUUGCACAAUUAAUUAAUUUUUUUUAAUGGGAGAAAAUGCAAUUUUCUUAUUUUGUAUUGGUUUGAUUAAAGACAACUUUUUGUACUUCUUUUGUUGGUUUGUUUGCUGUAAUCCUGAGUCUCUUUUUUUUUCUUUACUGUGCUCCCUACGCCCUGUUGGAUUUGAUCUUUUAGACUUUUUUUUGGCUUUGUUUCUCCUGAUGAUACCAAAACAUUGAAAUCCAAUUCAAAGCCAGACAGAAAACCAACUAGUUUCGGUGAGAAAGGGGAAGUUCUGAAUUGUUGCAGAGAUAGGAAGAAAACCAAAAAAACAUAGAAGAUCAUGUAGAAGGGACCAAUAAAUAAGAGCUUGUAGCUGGGACAAAAAAUAAGAGAAAAGUAUGCCAUCAAACAACCCCGGAAUCCAGAUAUAUUGAAACAUGAUUUCUCUUUUAUCUAGAGGAAAAGCACGCCCUCCGUUUGGAUGAAGAAAUUGAAACUUACAUAGAAUUUUAAAAUGACGGAAUUUCGAUUUCCAUCAUUUCAAUUUAUGGCAAUUGAAGAUUUUAGUGUUUGGAUUUAUGUAUGUUGAAUUUUGUAAAUGACGGAAUUUUGUACAUAGUACUAUGGAAAUUGUGAAAUAACGCCUAUUUUGAUGGAAAUUAAACUCGAGAAUUUGAUGCUCCAAUUUCCAUCAUUUUUUCCGCGCUUCAUUUAAUAAAUUCCGUGCUUAACUUGCCAAACAAAGGAAUUGUCAAUUUCUCCUCUUAAAUUCCCAAUUUUUAGCUAAAUUCCAAGCUGUUUUCUCUCAUCCAAACGAAAGGCAGGAAUACCUUUUUUUUUUUUUUUUUUUUUUUUUUUUUGGGUUUUUGAAACCACCCUCUUCAUGGAUAUGGGAAGUUAUUUUUUUUAUCUUGUAGAAAGGAAAGAGAAGAGAUUACAGAGGUUUUGGGAAAGGAAAUCUUGCAGAGGUCGUUAGUUGUGUUAGGGUUUUUUUUUUGUUUGUUUUUAAAUUCGUAGUAAAUUGGGUUUUUGUUUUAAAGAUAUAUGUCAAAUUUUAAACUCUUUAGAUUAAAUUAUAAUGAGUUGGCGUGUUGAGAAUAAAAGUCAAGCAGAUCAUGUUAGGGAAAAGCAAAGCAGCAGAGGAUCCGAAUCCAUUUAUAGAAUAGGUUUGCGUAUUUGUAAUGGUAAUCGUCUUUGAUGGUAACGGUUAUGAUAAUGAGUUUUGAUGAUUGAGGUCAUCGCCUAUUGGGCUUUUAUGAAAAAAGACCACUUCACAAUCUAUUUCAGUUAAUUCACUCAAAAAUAAAAUACAUAUUAUUUCUUUUACAUAAGCGAUUUUAGGUAACGAAGGAGAGGGCCUGGCUGCAAGGGUUAUUGAUACACAACAGGUACAUAGGACAAUAUCUAAGGAAGAGAUGUUGCAUCUUUUUGAAUUCGGUGAUGAUAAGAACCAUGAGCUUGGCCAAGAUAAUGGAUGCUCGGACCAAAAUAUUGCUAAAAUAUGAAAACUAUGAGAGAAUAUUUGUUUGUGGGAAUUUUCUGUGUAUUCUUCUCCUUGUAGGAGGUCAUAUUUAUAAUACAAGGAAACCUGAAUGGGCAAGUAAAUAAUAAAUUCCUAAAUCUAUUUGCAGUAGGAAAUCAGGAAUUAAAGUAAAUCAAUUACAAUUAUAAUAGGAAUUCUUGGUUUCAAGAAGAUGUCGAUUCUUUCGUUCAGCAACACCAUUUUGUUGUGGUGUCUGAGGACAAGUCGUCUAAUGGAUAAUUCCAUGUUGUUGGAAGUAAGCCUGAAAGUCAUGAUUGACAAAUUCUCCACUAUUGUCUGAGCGAAGAAUCUGGAUUUGAGCAUUAAACUGAGUUUUCAUCUGUUUGUGGAAGGACUGAAAACAGGAAAACACUUUGUUUUUAUUCUUCAGCAAAUAAAGCCAUGUCAUCCGUGUACAAUCAUCGAUGAAUGUGACAAACCAUCGAACACCAGAAGGAGCAGUGAUAGGAGAAGGUCCCCAGACAUCAGAGUGAAUUAACAUAAAUGGAGUAGUCACUUGUUCGUACUCAAUGGGUAGGGCACACGGUGACUCUUGGCCAAAAUACAAGUAUCACAUGUGAAGUCAGAGUCCUUGAAACCUGAGAAUAAAUCUGGUAUAAGAUGCUUCAUAUAACUAAAAGAUGGAUGUCCCAAUCGACGGUGCCACAACCAGAUUUGCUUUUGUUUGCUAUCAAAUGGAUGUGUCACGCUGUUAGCCAUGCCGGGACUGAAGUCAUCGACAUAAUAUAGCCCCCUCUCUUAGUACCACGACCAAGAAUCUCCUUAGUGUGAAUAUCCUGAAGCAAACAAAAACUCUGGUAAAUGAGUACACAACAAUUCAUUUGUUCAGUAAGCUAACUAACUGACAACAAUUUAGUGGAUAAAGAUGGAACAAGCAAAGUAUUAGACAGUGUGAGAGAGGAUGAGAGUGCAACAGUGCCAGCCCCUGUCACAGGAUAAGUAACACCAUUGGCAUUUGCAAUACAGGUUCGUCGAGGUUGUGUAGUAUUCAAAAAAUCAUCAGGAUCAAACGUCAUAUGAUCAGUUGCACCAGAAUCAAUUAUCCAGCUCCUGGAAUCAAUCUUAUCGGAAGUAUGGAAUCCAUAACUAGUACCAUUACUUGUCAUAUUACAUUGUCCUUGAUCUAUAAGAGUAGCCUACCAAUUGGGGUAGCCAUGCGAUUUAAAACAAGUCUCACAAGUGUGUCUCGGGUCACCACAAUAUGCGUAAUCUGGUCCAUGUGUCGGGGUCGUUAGUCUAGAAGUCAUAAUCUGUGCAGCGGAAGAUGCAUAGGAUACAAGUUGAGUAGGAAUUGAGAUCGGAAUCUGAGCCUGAGUCGGGGCCGGAGUCGGAGUCAAAAUCGAGAUCAGGGUCUGAAUCAGAGACAAAUUCGAGGUUGGGGUCAUCAUCGGAGUGGGGGUUGGGGUCGUCUUCGAAGUCGGGGUCGGGGUCGUCGUCGUCAUAGUCGGGGUCGAGGUCGGGGUCAUCAAAAGAGGAUCCUGAUUCUGGAUCGGGUUCGGGGUCAAAGUCUGCAUCUGUAGGAGCGGAGCCAUCUGGGCACUCAACUCAACGAUGGUUGGUUGAGAAUGAGAGAAGGAGUCGGUGGUGCUACCUCCAUGAGGGUUGAAAAAAUCAUCACCAUAGCAGCGGCGGGGGUUUGAAACUAGAGUCAACAAUUCCAAGAUCGCCGCUCUGAUACCAUGCUAAAAUAUAAAAACUAUGAGAGAAUAUUUGUUUGUGGGAAUUUUCUGUGUAUUCUUCUCCUUGUAGGAGGUCAUAUUUAUAAUACAACGAAACCUGAAUAGGCAAGUAAAUAAUAAAUUCCUAAAUCUAUUUGCAGUAGGAAAUCAAGAAUUAAAGUAAAUCAAUUACAAUUAUAAUAGGAAUUCUUGGUGUGUAAGGAAAGUAAGUCAAUAUCCACAAGUCACGCCAACAAAUAUGACUGGUGAAGUUGAAAUUUUGCCUCAACACAAAGUGCCUCUUUCUCAAGGAAGUUGCUCUUUUGACAAUGCUAAUAGAAGGUUUACUUGGCAAGCACCAUCCAAGGUAUGUUUCCAUGUUCUUAGUAUUUUCAUAAUCUAUUGGUAUAUGAUUUGGUUGCCUGGUUACGGCGGCCACCGUUGGCAACUUUACCCUCCUCACUCACUCUCUUACGGAUGAACUACCUCGUUUUCAGGUCCUGCCUUGCCCUUUUCGAUAUCCAGUUUGGCGGCUUGGGAUAGUAUAGCUCCUCCUGACUUUGGAGUAAAUAUCAAACUAUCCCAAAUGAGUCUCUUCAAUGGUUGUGCACGUACCAAAAUAAGAUUUGCGAACAGCGCUGCGGUUCAUAUAAGCCAGCAUUUGUGCUAAUAGUUUGUUUUGGGCUGUUUUUGAAAGAAAAAAAGAGAGAGAGAGAGAGUUUUUCUAUUUGAAAUUUUGAACCCAGCAUUGGUCUUUUCAGUGUUCCAAAAUUGCCCAUAUAUGAUAUACCCACACCAAAUCCAACCCUUUCAAAUUGAAACCCAGGAAAACCUAACCCAGUCACCGCUCUCCUGCCGCACUGCCAUUGCAACAUGGGAUGAUAUGUUUUCCUUUGCUUAAUCUUAAUCCACAUGAGAGCAAAAUUCUUUUUUCUUUUUUCUUUCUGAUCUUGGGCAAUAUAUCCGGAUAUUAUUUGAACGCAAAAACCUAGCCACAUGUAUAGCCUUGACCUUGGGCAAUAUAUCUGGAUAUUUAUUGUCCUUUUUUUUUUUAAUCUGUUCCAUUGACCUCUUUGGGGAGCUGCACUGCAUGAAAGCCUUUUGCAUUGGAGUCAAAUAAACUUGGGAAUUAUACUCUCAAUCUCAACGCGAAAGCCAUGUAGAGGCAGUAUUAUCAAGGCAAAUCCAACGUGGAAUUACCGUAAUGUUAUAUUUAAAUAAAAAAACAUAUUUCUCCCAAUAUCUCGCUGCACUAUGCUGCAUUAAUUAAAAAUAAAAUAAAAGCUGUAUAGGUGAUAAAUAAAGAAAGGCCGUCGUUUAUACAAACAAGAGACGACCCCACAAAUAAAAAACUGACUUGUCUCCUUUCAUUUAUGUUGGAGUCUUUUUUCCUUAAAUAUUUCAUUUAUUGUUCUUCAGGCUAGAUGGAAUAAGAAAGAAAGGCAAAAGCUGGUUGAGCGCUUUAAAGAUAAAGAGGGCCAACUGCACUGCACUCUGAUCAGAUAGCUAGAUAAUAAUACUCUACUGUAGGUAGAUGAUAUUGCUUAGUGAAGGAUUAAACAUGUCAUUACAUUGGAAUACAACAAAUUAAGCAUCUCAAAAAAUAGAUGAUAAAUUUCUCAGAAGCAGAAUCCAUUCAUCAAUUCCUAGUUAUUUAGUUAUAGAAUUGAUCAUCUUGUAGUGCAGUGUAAACUCAUGGAUUAAACGACCACAACUGGAGCAGCAGAACCCAACAUUCAUUUUCGAGAUUGUUCAUCAUAACCUCAACGCCUCAACACCUUUAAUCGCUUGAAUGUAAUUUGCAAGCCUCCUUACACGAGGUGCCGGAGGCAUGUUAUGAACAAUGCAGUCUUCCACAACGGCAACCUGGACGUGUGGGGAGACCAGAUAAAAUAAAUUUCCAAACACAACCAUCAAAAGUAGGAAAAAUAACACACUAACCUCUGGGCAAAGAUAAAUGUUACAGCAUGUCAGUUUUUCAAGUUCCUGCAUCCCAAUUACAUUGUAAAAACAAAAGAACAAAUAUAGAAACGACAAGCAAAAAAAUGUAAAUGUGAUCUAGGACGCUUUUAUGCACCUGUACCGGGAGACUCAUGAGCAGUUUUUUUCCUGAAAACAUACUUAUCCUGCACACAGACACAUUACAAGAUAUUAAAAAAAAAAAACAUAUAACUAAGCUUUUGCAUAUGUCCAGCCUAACGAAGAGUUGUUGGGUCAUAAUUUUUGUAGGAUAGAGAGCAGAACACCAGAAAGUCCAUAUUCCUCAUUAUUGCCACAUUAGUUCUUGUAUCACCAUACCCUAACCAAUUCUAAACCUUUCUAAGGUGAAACAACAACUCUAAAUGCCAUGUUAUAGUACUCCUGAAAUUUAAAGAUGCUGCUUCAUAACUACAUAAGAAUGCUUAAAACGAAAUAAAAAAAUAGAAGGAAACUUAAGAAAUACCUACCCGCUUGAUAUCAAAUUUUUGGCAAAAUCCAUCGAAAACAUACCCAGUGUAGACGAGGUAGCAUGGCAUUCCAUUCAGUACUUUUACUGCCUGGAUCAAAAUGAUACUGAAAUCAGAAGUUUAAUAAAUAGAAGAAUUCUUUUUUCUUCUUUUUUUUUCCCUUAAACAGUUCAAUGAGAAUAGAAAACCUUGGAGGAUUCAAGCAAAAAGGAAAGCCAACGUAAGUUUUUAUAAUUUAAGUUAGAUAAAUUGAACAUAAGCUUUUCAUUGAGAUGUAAAUAUUCUAACAUAAAAUAACAUAUAUAAGCAAUUAGCAUUCAGCGUCCAAAUAUGAUUGGCAUGCCGUUGCCUUGAGGGAGAUGAAUUACAUUGAAGUAAUAACUUACUAACUUAGCAAAUCAAUUGAACUUGAAGAAUAGAUAGGUUACAGAUAAGAAACAAUAACAUAAGAUUUGACAUUUGUACCCGAAGUGGAGGAACUCCUGCUGACAAAAGUCGAAGAAGAUAUCUAGAGUCUGUUAAUGUGCAAAAUGGUAAACUGAUUUAGUAUGUAAUUGUUGGUUUAGUGUUAUACUUAGCUCAUAGGCUAAGCUGUCUAUAAUAGUCAAAACGGUUUGUUAAGUCUCAUAGGACUUGACUGGACAGGUGUCAUAAUCUUACCCAUAGUGUAGUUGGAUGGUUGAGAUUGAAGCUAGGAUUUGUCUAGCUCUCUCUCUCUCUUCUAACUGUAAUAUGAGCUGUGAGUGAUACAGCUCGAUAUACACAACAACAAAUAUACGAAAAAGUUUUUACAGAGCAUUAUUAUUCUCUUCACUCUCUUCUUCAAUAUUCUCAGUUUCCUCCAUUUUUAUCAGUAGCUUAUUAAACACUAACAUGGGAUCAGAGCCAGGUUGGGUCUGAAUUUCUAGGCGUUGUGACUGUGAGGUUGGGUUUGAAUCUCUGAGCAAAAGCUUGUUGUGUGAUUCUUGAGCUCAAAUCAGUACUCUAGACUAACAUGUCUGGAUCUGGAGGAGGAGAACUCAGGGCACCCAUUUUUAAUGGUGAAAAUUUUGAUUUCUGGCAAAUCAAAAUGAAAACCAUCUUCCGUUCGCACGAGCUGUGGGAUCUUGUGGAGAAUGGGUACAAAACUCCGACGAAGGAGGCGGAGGAGCUCACGGAGGCAGAGAGGAAGCUGAUGCGUGAGAACUUGGUGAAGGACGCUAGAGCUCUAGGUAUCAUCCAAGGGGCUGUAUCAGAUCAAAUUUUUCCACGAAUUGCAACUCAGGAAUCUGCAAAGGCUGCGUGGGAUAUUCUGAAAGAAGAAUUUGUGGAUGAUAAGCAGGUAAGAUCUGUGAAACUUCAAGGUCUUAGGCGUGAUUUUGAAUAUACUCGGAUGAGUGAUAAUGAAUCUUUGUCUGGAUAUAUUGCUAAGUUGUUUGAUCUGAUCAACCAAAUGAGGAGCUAUGGUGAGGAUCUGAGCAAUCAACGAAUUGUUCAGAAACUGCUUAUUAGUCUGCCUAAGUCCUAUGAUAGUAUUGCAAUUGUGAUAGAGAAUACAAAAGAUUUAGACACUAUUGAUGCUCAGGAUGUUGUUGCCAUUUUAAAAGGAUAUGAACAGAGGCUUGAUAGGCAUGGUGACAAUAGUGCAGAGAAGGCUUUUGCUAGCUUCAACGUUGGAUCAAAGGCAACACGGUCUAAUAGUCACACCAGUAAGUCUCAGAAGAAUGCCAAACCACAGGGGCAGCAAUGGGGCAACAAGGGUGAUGGAGGUAAUAAGUCUAAUUCCUCUGUGAAAAAUGAGACAGACAACACUGGAAAUAAAUGCAAAUUCUGUGAUAAAUUGCACUAUGGAGAGUGUUGGUUUAAGAACAAGGUCAAGUGUCACAAGUGUAACAAAAUUGGGCAUAUUGCAAAAUAUUGUCAUACAAACAAGGCUGUGCAGCAGGUGAACUGUGCUAAUCAGGUUGAAGAAACCGGAAACUUAUUCUUUGCUAAUCAUUCUGGAGAAGUAAAGAAGAUGAGUGAUGAAUGGUACAUAGAUAGUGGAUGUAGCAAUCAUAUGACAUCCAGGGAAGACUUGCUUGUAGACAUUGUCAGAGGAGUGAAAGCAAAGGUUCAAGUAGGCAAUGGAGUUUUAGUUGAAGUGGCAGGAAAAGGGACACUGAUCAUUGAAACAAUGAAGGGUAAGAGGUAUAUAAAGGAGGUUAUGCUUGUACCUAGUCUAGCUGAAAAUUUGCUAAGUGUAGGACAGAUAACAGAGCAUGGCUAUUUUCUUGUAUUUGGAAAUCACAAGGUUGACAUCUUCGAUGAUAGUUCCCUAAGUAACAUGGUGGUAAGUGUAAAGCAAAAGGGGAACAGGUGUUUUCCUUUAACUUUCAACACAAUCAAGGAGAUUGCCUUGAAAACAAAUGUGCAAGAAUGCUCCAAGAUAUGGCACAAGAGGUUUGGGCACUUAAACUUUCGAAGCCUCCAGCUGCUGCAGUGAUCCUAACCAUGGUUAUAAAAAAAAAACUUAAUAUGUGCAUAACUAAAAAUACUCAAUAUGAGCACAAAUUUAAAAGCAACAUUUAUUAUAACAUACCAAAUCCAAUGCACAUGAAAUGCCAUACUCUUUUAAAGCAGAUUUUAGCACUGGCCAAGCUUCUUGCAAAUCUUUUGCUGUGAAAAAACAACGCCAAGACUCAUAGGUAAGAAAGCUUUGUUCUUCUGCAAAAUUAUCAUAGUAAUAGUCAUAUUUAAGAAAACUCAUGAAUGGAAUAACUUAGAUGGAAAAUUAAACAGAAAAUAGGACACAAAGAUGAACGAGUUAAUUUCAUACACAACAACCUUGACAAUUUGAAAUAGUCUAAUCCCUUUUAUUUCAAUUUCAGAGACGAUUGUUUUACUUCAUCUGAGUGGCCCAAACACAGCAAGGAAGAAUUACAACACCCAAGUUUACCAUAAUUUUUAUUUUCAUCAGAUAUCUAUGAUCAGAAUGAAACAGAUUGGGUCAGCAGUCAGAACCCAAUAUGUAUAUAUAGGUGCAUGAGAGAGACAAUAUAUUAAAGUGAUCAAUGAUUUCUUCUAAUUAUUUGGCUCUUCUAGAGUCUUCUAUGUUGCUCACAUCCAACCCCCCACCCCAAGUAGCGGGCUGCUGCUGCUUCUUCUUCCGUGAGUUACUGCUGCCUCAGAUAAAUCUUAUUGCCCAGGUACCUACUCGGGAAUUUUUUUAUAUAAAAAGGAAAAAGAAAAAUAGUCUUGGUUUUUGUCUGAUUUAGGGUUGUAAAUUAGCAUAAUUUAAUCAGGGUUUUAGAUUUACUUUAAUUUAGCCAUUAAAACUAGGCUACGAAUUUCAUCCAUCAAUCUCAUAUAAUCAUUACUAGAACAAAAUAAGAAAACGAAAUGUUAUUUGCAGUAAAUUGAUGAGAAAGGCAACAAAAAGGAAGAAUAAGAAGAAGAGAGAGAUACCCGUGCAUAUAUUAAUGGGCAUACGGAGAACGCUCAAAUCAUAUGGGCAGUAAGACUUGGCCUUCAUGUUGUAGGCGAUUAUCUCCUCCAUGUUGACCUUGUUUGUCAUCGUAGCUAAUUGUUUGGAUACUUGUUCAAUCCCUAGCCUACGCACAGACAGAGAGAAUGUUUGGGUAGUUGUUGAAAGCCUAGGCACUGACAAGGCAGAGAGAGAGAAUGUUACCCUUGGCACAGACACAGAGAGAGAAUGAGUUUCUGUCAACGCCGUGAAAACUAAGAACGUGCUUUUUGGUGGGGUAUUUAUACGAGGGUGACGUGUCUAUCAUAUUUAUAUGGGAAAGGCUGAAUGCGAGAGAAAAGUAUUUGCUGGGGAAGUCCACAUAGGCCAAUGGGUUUUGAUGGGCUUUGGAUUUCGAAUAGGUCUGCGUAUUUGUAAAGCUAAUGGGUUUUGACGGUUGAGGUCGUUGCCUAGACUAUUGGCUUCUAUGAAAAAAGACCGUUUCACAGUUUAUUUCAAGCUAAUUGACCACCCCUCCCCCAAAAACCCAAAAAGACAACACAUUGUGUAAAGAGAACAUUUUAAUCAUUUUUCUAAAAAAAAUUUUAAAAAAAGAAGAAAAAAAUACCAACGACAUUCGGAGAAGCAAGAAUUGAACUUAGAGCCUCUAGUGUAACGGUAAAUACUCUUAGCACUCAAACUCCUUGCAAUGACAAUUGUUUUCAGCUAAGGCAAACGACCUUGGUUUAAAUUGGCGAAAAUUGCAAAGUACACCAUAUCAUUUCUACCCUACUAACAUGACAAAAAACAUCCAGGGCAUUUUUGAAUAUCCCACUCCGUUUGUGUUUGUGACCUCCCUUUCUAUGCUGGUAGGAGGCACAACUAUGAAAUCAAGGAAAGACCUGAGCUUCAGCAUUUGUAUUAAACAAAGAAAAAAAAUUGUGCAGGGAUUUCUUUAAGAAUGUUUAUUCUGCAUGCAGCAUGCUCUGCAUUGUAUUGGAUGAACCUAGCUGUAUACAUUGGAUUUAAGUUAUUGUCUGCCCAAGGGAAACUCGGCUGUAGUGAAUAAUAAUAUACCACACCCUAUGACUGUUAAGUAGUCGCAAGUCUGCUGCAUACACAUGCAAUUGACAUUUCAAACAGAGAGUGCAUCCACCACCUCAAUAUCUUGCAAUAUUAUCCUACUUUCCCAAACCCUUGAAGGUAAAAGGGACUGUGACAAUCUCGAAGAUGCAAAAACUUCUUGCAUGGUUACCCAAAGAAAACCAAGGAAAGAAAAUCAUUAGCAUCUUUCAUCUCCUAACCAAUUGUCCUUUUCCUUAGGGCCUGUUGGCCCUUCCUCUCCAUAGAGUUGAGUAGGAAACAAAUCAAAUAGGUUCUCCACUGAGAAUCGAACAAAGAAUGGAAGAUGAUCAAUCAACUUAUCUAGUUCCGAUCGAGAAUCAUACACAAUGGUAGGACCCCAGUCACUCAUAUACUGCAACCAACAUGGUUCCGAAAUAACACCAUCACCAAGGUACUCAGCUGCUACAAUUUGAUACUUGGUGCUCGAAUCAAUACAAAACUUGCUCCGAGCAGCAUCAUUCCUCACUCCAAUGUCAAACUUCGAUGACCCCUGAAGGUAGGUUCCAGGAUGGGGGUAGCUACUAUGACCAUAUUUUGAAGAAUAAACAAUUGGCUUAUUCCCUUCAAUGAACUCUAAGUCAGAAACAUCCACCCAUCUACCACCACUGUGCUCUGAGAAAUACGCUUGCCAGAGUUCUCCUGUGAAGUUGCUCACUCGUAGAGUGAAGUGUUCCCAGUCACCAACAUGUUGCCCUAUCUUGUUCAUUGCAAUACUUACUAAACCAAUCUUAAUGGUGGCUGGUCCGUUGAAAGGACAGAACACCCACAUAGCAAUAUCAGUAAAAGUUCCCCCUAGAGCCGGUUUUACAUGAACAUAUAGCUCCGCACUCUCUAUGUUUCCGCCCUUGAGAUGAUUUCUAGCAUCAUCGUCAUUUGGCAAAUCUAUCCAAAAAUCACUAUCGUUUUCCCCUCCACUAGGCAAAUUGGAGCCUCUGUAAUCAAUGGGUUCACCAUUCCCAGAGUCUUCGUGGUACAAAAGUGCCCCAUUUUUGAAAAACCAUUGCACUGAUGAUGGCAAAUAAACCUCAUCAGGAUGGAAGAAUACCGUGGGGCCAUAGUGCUCAAUGAGCGCAUGAAUCUGGUUCAGAUUUGGCAUUGCAUGUAGGGACGAAUCAAUAUUCUUCAAGCACGCAACUUCUAGUUCAUCAUCAGAAUCCAGGUAGGUACUGCAAAAGAAUGUACCAACUGAAACACCACUACACAACAUACCCCGUUUGCAGGGUCUUGUGUUCCACACCUGAAAUUGCUCCUCCGACAACUUUGAAUCCAUGGCAAGUACCCGAUCACGUGUUUCACAAGCCUCUGUAAGAUCUUCUCGUACACAUCUCACUUCUUCAGGUCUGGGCUCCUCGGAGUUGUCAGUGACCACAAAGCCCAUGGCCUUAUAACCCACAGGUGGGUUUGGCAACCAAAUAUAACCACACCCAUUUUUAUUUGAGUCCGCAUUCCAGACUAAUGAGUAGUUAACAGGCUUUCUCAAAGCUGGUAACUCUAAUACUGAGUCUUGGGUACAACCAUCUUCCAGACUUGUGGCAACCGUGUCACGAGCCACAAGAACAUACCCUCUCAAAGGCUGAUCAUUGGGCUGGCAGUAGUAACCGAGGCAAAAGAAGUCAUCAGGGAUCCCUGCAGGUCUGUAAAAUGUGACACCUUUUGAUUUUCCAUGCAACAGAUUACAGCUCCAGAUGCUCUCAAACUUGGUGAUCUGGAUAACUUCAAUUUCUCCUAGGCACAUUCUUCCAGUAGCAAAACCUCUGCCUGAAGAAAUGACAGUACACAUUUGUCAGAAAAUGGGCUCAUAAUGAUAAGUUAAUAUUUAUAAUGACGAAUACAGAUGCAGUGGGCCCUACAAGAGUGUCCCUCAAAUAAGCUUACUUGAAAUACAAAACGGAGUGGGCCCUGCAGGAGUGUCUCUCAAAUAAGCUUAUUUGAGGGAUCCCUCAAAUAGGGGGAGAGAGAGAGAGAGUUUUUCCUUCCCCUUUGGGCCAGAGUUCACACAACGCAUCAUUUUUUAAAGAAGGCUUUUUAUCGCAAAUGAUCCCUGAGGUUAAUGGUCCUUAAGGUUACUCUCUAUACAUCCCUCCCCCCUCCGCUCCCCUCCGUCUCCCCCUCUUCUCUCUCUCCCCCUCCGCCCUCUUUCUCUAUGUUCUCUCUCCAGAGCCGCAACACGACUCUCUCUCUCUCUCUCUCUCAAAAGAAAUAAUCAAGAAAAGAAGAUGGCAUCAAAUGCAAAAUUGGUCACGGGCAUUGAGUUGAGUGAGAGCAGAAGAAAGGGCUCUUACACUGCCAAUGGUUUCCCUACCCAAAAAAAAAUUCAAACUUUAAAUUUAAAACACUUGGGUAUGGGAUUUGGGUGUUGGGGUGGGGUGGGUUGUGGGUGGGGCUGGGGUUGAGGGGUGAUUUGGUUCGUGGAAGGGAGAGAGAGAUGGCUGCAAUUUUUAUUUUAUUUUAUAAAUUGAAGUUAUAAUCUCCUUUAUCUAAUUUCUUUUUUUAAUUUAUAGAUUUUAAUUUUUAUGGUAUAUUUUAUUCAUCAAAAUCCACUUGGCUUUAUAUAAUUGGAUGUGUGGGCUCCAUAUAUGUGCCAUGUCAGCACUUUAACAGAAAAUUUGACGGAAACUAAUGGUAGGGACCAAUUUGAUGUAGGGAGAGUAACCUUAAGGACCAUUAAUGUGACCCAAAAAAAAAACAUUAAUGAUGAAAAGUGAUAAUUUAGGAACCAUUUGCAAUAAAAAGCCUAUAAAGAACUUAAAAUUGAGCUUCUACAAUGAAGUUAAAGUUAGAGACAAACUUCAAACUUUUACAUGCGACUAAGGAAGAAUAUGGAAACUUUCAAAUUCCAAAAACUCCAACUUUCAAGGCAUUUCAGGAAUUUGUUGACCAUCAAGUUCGUUCAUUUCAUUGUUUUAUUUUUUUACUGGCAUGAAGGUGAAAAGCAUAUACACAGUGAAUCAGACUCAUUCAAAAUUUCAAUUGUUCUAAGAUGAGUUGUUUAUCUUCUUUCUGGGAUGUUUGAGUGGAUGGGGCAGGUUUUCCAAUAUGUGGAACUCAAGUUGCCACCGACCACGGCCGGUAGCUUCUGGGAAAUACCAAAAGCCCAUUAUUUACUCGAAACAAAGACAACAAACUAAGGACCACCAACUAAAGAAAAAAGAAAAAGAGAGAACAAGCAUAUGCAGAACAUAUUCUGAUAACCCCCACCAAAAAAAAAUAAAAAAAUAAACAGAAGAUGAAAGAAAUCAAGACAAAUACAAUCUUAGCAAAGCUCAUGAAGCCAUCUGAAUGCAAAUAAUUCUUCUUAAGAAAAUAGAAACCUUCAUUUCUUAAAAGAAUAAUAAAUAAAUAAGGAAACAAAUUGCAACAUAUAACUGUGUAAGUUGAGGAAAGAAAGGAACUUAGUGGCAUACCUUGAGGCCAGUGUGGGAGAGGUGAAGGCAGAGAGAAGGGCUCUGGCUCAGAGUAAUCAUACAACUCAUAGUCAAACUCACUGCUCCAACACCAAGAUUCACACCCAAACAUCUUAGCUAUAAAUAAGCUCUGCCAACUCUCACAAAUUCAACAACCCACAAAAGUAUUUGUCUUCAAGAUCAAUUAUGGUCCUCAGUCUCUCAAAUUCUUCUGCCCAUAUUUACUAACCAAACCCUCAAGGCUGAAGAAAAUUUAAAAGAGAAAGAAGGAAAGAAAGAAAGCUCUUCCCUCUCCCCCUCACUCAAUCAGCCAAUUUGUGCUUGAAACUUGAAUUAUUUGUGCAAGGGAAGAGAGCACAGAACCCGUGAGGAAAGAGAGAGAGACUUCAAAAGAGGUUGAGUGGAUAGAGAGGAAGCUGAGAGAGAAAGAGAAAGAAGAAAAAGGAAAAGAAGGGAAAGGACGUUGUUGAAUGCUUGUUUUUGUCUGCUUUGCGUACAAUUUUCUAUUUGGAAAUUGGAAGGUGGGCUUUGUUUCAAGCUUUCUUCAUUCAUUUCGGAAGCCAAAACGACCACCAAUAAUUGUCUCCCUCCAACUUGAUAAGGAAAACGGUGAACAGUCCUCUCUCAUGACUCAUCAUUCGCAACUCACUCUCCAUUUUGUCGAGGUUGUGACCACGCUCCAAGUUAUUUAAUUUUACCAAACCAAAAAAUGUAUUUCAUUUUAUUUUGGCUUCUUUAAGAGGUGUAUUUCUGUAAUUUACUGAAGAAAAAAAGAGAGCAUAAAGAUAGGAUAUUCUAAACAAAAUAGUUUGUUUUUCAAGUUAUCAUCAACCACCUUAACCACCUUAACUACCUUUUUUGUUGUUGUCAGAAUAUUAUUAACCACCAAGCUUAGAUGUUAAUAAUCUCAUGCUCCUAAAUCAAGUUGGGUUUCACAUUAUGAGUGUCAUAUGUUAAUUAUAGUUAACUAAAUAGAUUAACUGCAGCAUUAAAUUUAGGCGGCCAUAAAAUAUGACACUUGAGGAUAUUGUCAAUGGAUUUUUGGCGUGGAGUUGUGGCUGAACCCUCAAUCAAAAGUCUAAAGCCGCCUCACCUGACUUCGCUUAAAGAAAAUUAAUACAGAACGAACAGCCUCCUAUACAUACUAUGUCAUGGUCGGCCAAAAAUUAUUUACGAAAAAAAAUUAAAGAAAUCUAAAUAUUUAAUAAUCUUCCAAGGAAUAGUGACUAGAUUGAAUUUGUCACACUUUCACUUUGAUUCCACCAACAAAUAAUGAUAUUUUUUUUAUAAAGAAAUUUAAUAAGACAAAAUUGCUAAACUAAUUGUAGCAAUAGUCUUUGAAUUAUACUCAAUUUUCAUUACACCCGUCCGCCAAUUCGAUCUCCUAUUGCAUCAUUCGUCAUUUCCGUCAGAUAUGUCAAGUUUUUCAUUUAAAAUGAUUAUAUGGUAUGCAAAUUAGGGUAUAAUUAAAGGACUAUUGCUUAUAAUUAAGCCUUUAAAAACCAGAAAAGAAAAGAGGAAGACAAAACUGAUUAUAUUGGGCUGAACAAAAGCUUCUUCUACUUUGGGCUUAAAUUGCAACAAAAUUCUGACACAAGAUUUUUGGGCCAUUGGCCGCCAAUUGGAUCAAGACCUGAAACCCAACUUUAAACCCUUUUCAGUUCACUUCACCUUCAGCUUGCUCUGAGUUCUGGUUAAUCCUUUAGAAUUUUGGAAAGGGAACGACAAUAACAAUGGCUAGCUUCAGCUGGAACACUCCUUCUCCUUAGUCGCUGGUCCUUCACUUGUCUUCAUGGACACCAUUCUCGCCUUUCGUCCCCUUCCCAACUGUUUCGCCCCACUUCGAAAUCAUCCCUUCUCAAUUUUCACCACAAACCGCCGUAUCAGAAUCCAAACAUUCGCUUCCAAAUUCCCCAACAGCCCCCGAAAUCCAAUCCCAAUUCCGUACAAUCCCCGCUCCUUCAGCUUUCGAGAAGCUUCCAGAAGCUCGAAGGAAGAACAAAGGCCACUUCUUUCCGCCGAAUGCAUUGCGAGGCAGUUAGUGUUGGCGCUCUUCUGUUUCGCAAUCGGUUUUGCUCCGUUUCGGACGGCUCGUGCCAUCGCUGCUCCGGUGGUUUCAGAGGCUGUUUUGGAUAAGGAAGUAAAUUCAAAGGGUCAUGAGUAUUCAAAGUACACGAAGAGGUUGCUGGAGACGGUGUCUGUGUUGCUGAAGAGUAUAGAGGAGGUUAGAAGAGGAAAUGGGGAUGUGAAGCUCGUCGAGGCAGCAUGGAAGGCGGUGAGAGAAAAGAAAGAGGAGUUACAAGAGGAGAUAUUGGAUGGUCUCGAUGGGGAGCUAAGGGAGCUGAGGAGAGACAAACAGGUGCUGGUGAAGCGGUCUGAUGAUGUUUUCGCCGAGGUGGUGAAGGUGAAGAGGGAUUUGGAUAAGUUGGUGGGCAAUGUGGGUAAGGAGAAGGUGAAGGAGAGGGCGGAGGGGAUGUUGGGAAGAUUAGAGGAGGAGUAUAAUGAGGUUUGGGAGAGGGUUGGAGAGAUUGAGGAUCGGAUUUUGAGGAGCGAGACAUCAGCAAUGAGUUUCGGAGUGAGGGAGCUUUGUUUUAUUGAAAGGGAAUGCGAGCAAUUGGUUCAGAGUUUUACCCGCCAAAUGAGGAGGAAGGGGACUGAGAGGUAUUUAUUGCACGAUCAUAUGUGUGUUCAUGAUUUUGAAUAGGACUGAAAGUCAUAUAAAGAAUUCUUUAUUUUUGGUGAGAUAUGAUGUUGAAAGUGAUCAACUUUAUCCAAGUUACGUUGAUAUUUCACUUUAUAUACUGCUGCCAACAUACUUUCUGUAGACUCUGUUUACAUAAUGCCUUGCUAUAUAUGAAUAGUCAUUUACAGUUGGUGGUUUUGAUAAAUGAAUCACUACUUUAAUUUUUAUCAUUUUGCAAUGAUAUGAUGCUUGUUCUUCAACUUUGCAUGCAAUAUCUUUUUGGAAAAAGAAGAAGAAGAAAAUUUAGUAACCAAAAUUGUUGUGUGAGUAUAAAUUGUUAUGUGGUUGCAGUGUGCCAAAAGACCCGGUUACCAAGCUUUCUAAAUCUGAUAUACAGAAAGAUUUGGAAAAUGCGCAAAGGAAACAUUUGGAGCAAAUGAUUCUGCCAAAUGUUUUGGAAGUUGAUGAUCUGGGACCUCUCUUUUAUUCGACUGAUUUUGCUCAACGUAUAAAACAAGGUCUUCAAGAUUCAAGGGAGCUGCAGAAAAAGACUGAGGCUCAAAUAAGGAAAAAUAUGAAGAAGUUUGGCAGCGAAAGGCGUUUUCUUGUAAAAACACCAGAGGAUGAGGUAGUGAAGGGAUUUCCAGAAGUUGAGUUGAAGUGGAUGUUUGGAGAUAAGGAGGUUGUUGCUCCAAAAGCUGUUGGCCUCCAUUUGUACCAUGGGUGGAAGAAGUGGCGUGAAGAAGCUAAGGCAGACCUCAAAAGAAAUCUAUUAGAAAAUGUUGAUUUUGGUAAACAGUAUGUGGCCCAGAGACAGGUAACUUUUGCAUCCUUAUCUUUAGUGUCAAUCUUUGUUUUAAAUGGUUGUGAAAUAACAUAAAGGUUGAUUACUUUAGUAUGAAGUUAUAUGGAAUAGUUCGAUAGACCUGUUUUAUCUGCUAUUUAUCAAAUGUUGAUUGCAGGAACUUAUUCUUCUGGACCGAGAUAGGGUGGUGUCCAAGACGUGGCACAAUGAGGAAAAAAAUAGGUGGGAAAUGGAUCCAGUGGCUAUUCCUUUUGCCGUGUCAAAGAAACUGGUGGAGCAUGCCCGAAUUAGGCAUGAUUGGGCUGCCAUGUAUAUUGCACUCAAGGGUGAUGAUAAGGAAUAUUAUGUUGACAUUAAGGUAAGGCAUUUGCAUAGUUUGUUCAAUUUCUUGCUGUUUGUUAUUGUCAUUAUGUUUCUAAUCUUUAAAUUCUCAUUCAGGAAUAUGAAAUGCUAUUUGAAGAUUGUGGAGGGUUUGAUGGCCUGUACAUGAAAAUGAUUGCCUGUGGUAUUCCAACUGCUGUUCACCUGAUGUGGAUCCCUUUGUCUGAGUUGGAUUUCCAUCAACAGUUUCUCUUGACCCUAAGACUGUCUCAUCAAUGCUUUAAUGCAUUGUGGAAAACAAGAGUAGUAUCAUAUGCAAGAGAUUGGGCUCUUCAGAAAUUCAGAAAUAUAAAUGAUGACAUAAUGAUGACAAUAGUGUUUCCCAUUGUGGAGCUUAUACUCCCCUACUCUGUAUGUUCAUAGCUCACCAGUUCAGAUGCUUAGUUUUACUAAGGUGAUUAUUAUUGUUGUUUUAAGUUCUAUCCCUGUUUCUUAUUACAGGUAAGGAUACAGUUGGGGAUGGCAUGGCCUGAAGAAAUUGAUCAAGCCGUUGCCUCAACAUGGUACUUGAAAUGGCAAUCUGAGGCAGAAAUGAAUUAUAAAUCUAGAAGAACGGAUGACAUCCAAUGGUAUUUUUGGUUUCUCAUUAGAAGUGUAAUAUACGGAUAUGUUUGUUUUCAUCUCUUCCGUUUUAUGAAGAGAAAAAUUCCCAGACUUCUUGGUUAUGGGCCAUUACGCAUAGAUCCAAACAUGCAGAAGUUGAAGAAAGUGGUAUUGCCUUCUUCCCUUUUCUGUUGACAACUUUAUAUUUGAAGCUGAUGACAAUCAAACUGUUGCUUAUGCUUUGGAGCAUUGUACUAUUCUUUCUUGACAUUUCCAUUGUUAUCUUACUUUGCUUUUUUUGAGGUUAAGCUAUAUAUAUUUCUUAUGGCUAGAACUCUAGCAAUUUUAAUGAUCGUACUGACUUGCAAUGCUGUAUUGUAAUUACUCUGUGAACUUGAGUGUUCUAUAAUAUUUCAAUGAGUUGAAUGUAUUUUUCAUGUCGAAUUUAUAUGUGCGGACAUGGUAUUAAAUGGUCUAGCAAAUUUGUUAAAAUAAUUUUAGUAUCAGAUUCUUUUGAGGCUGUGAGUAGUUUCUAUAUAUCCUCUGUUUUCAUUUUAGAUUGUGAAAGAAGAUGGGAUACUGGAACUUAGGUGGCCAUUGAAAAUCGAUACAAAUUUUUUUUUUUUAAACAGCCUUUUUGGUCUCUUAUUACUUAGCAUGGAAGUGAUAUGCAUAUCUAGAUCUUUUGCCAUAUUGUUUAGCUGCAUGAGUUUGCAUCUUUUAAUUGAUCCUCUCUUUUGCUCAUCUCUCGCAGAAAUUCUAUCUUAAUUAUCGGGUGAGGAAAAUUAAAGGCAACAAAAAGGCUGGUGUUGAUCCCAUAACACGGGCUUUCGACCAAAUGAAGGUUCAUAUUGGAACUUAAAAUUCUUCUGUACUUUGUAACUAGAUGAAUUUUGUGAAAUUAAAUUGUGAGAUCAAUGGCUGGUUGCAGAGGGUGAAGAAUCCACCAAUACCAUUGAAGGACUUUGCCAGUAUUGAAUCUAUGAAAGAGGAAAUCAACGAAGUUGUGGCAUUUCUGAAAAAUCCUGGUGCAUUUCAAGAAAUGGGGGCCCGUGCACCUCGGGUAUGUUAUUGCCAAUAUAAUUUUAGAUAUUUCCGGUAUAAACUAUAGGGUAUCCGUACGUAAUUUACUUUCAUAAACUAUUAUAGGUAAUUUGCUUUUCAAACUUCGUUUGAGAAUUUUUCAGCAUGAAAGUUAUGCUGCAUGCAAAAUACAUGAUAUUCGAAUGUUAGCUUGUGCUAUGAGCAUAUAUUGAUCUUUGUUCAAUUAGUCAGUAUAGGAUCCAUCUCAAGUACAUACGUUAGACUUCUUCUAGUUGCUGCUGUGGAUACUAAUUUAAUGGGUUGAUCAGCUUCUGAAAUCGUUUAUUCUUUAUAUUGCAGGGAGUUCUGAUUGUAGGUGAGAGGGGAACAGGAAAGACAUCUCUAGCACUGGCUAUAGCUGCUCAAGCUAAGGUUCCUGUUGUUAACAUUAAAGCUCAAGAGUUGGAGGCUGGACUGUGGGUUGGGCAAAGUGCAUCAAAUGUCAGGGAGCUGUUUCAAACUGCGAGAGAAUUGGUAGCUAGCUAUCUAUCUUGCUGAGUUACUUUAUGUGAAUUAUGAAAGAAAUAAUUUCCUUUACCUUUCUAUGUCUGUAUCUUUUGCUGAGCCAGUUUAUGUCAUUUCUAGGCACCUGUAAUCAUAUUUGUGGAGGAUUUUGACCUCUUUGCUGGUGUCCGUGGAAAAUUUAUUCACACUAAAAAUCAAGAUCACGAAGCUUUUAUUAAUCAACUGCUUGUGGAACUUGACGGGUAACCCUCAGCUCUUCUUUUGUUUAUUGGACUAACAAUCCUUGAAUAAGAUUCUUUUAUGGGCCUUUCUUUGGCCAUAUAUGAUUGUUGAGGUAAUGGGUAUUUUGUGUAGAGCUGAGUAUCCUUUUUGUAUGUAUAGAUAUACACUUGAUGUCAUUUUAGCUAAUAGUAACUGAAUAACGUAUCAGAGGUGUUGUUACUUUCCAUCUCCUUUGUCUGUCUAUGUUAGUAGUGGUGUUAGAAAUGAUCUGCAAUGUAUUCUACCCUUGAUGCAGGUUUGAGAAACAAGAUGGGGUUGUAUUGAUGGCUACUACUGGAAAUCUCAAGCAAAUUGAUGAGGCCUUACAGCGGCCUGGCCGCAUGGAUAGAGUAUUUCAUCUUCAAAGGCCAACUCAAGCAGAAAGAGAGAAGAUAUUACAUAUUGCUGCAAAAGAAACAAUGGAUAAUGAACUCAUUGAUUUUGUAGACUGGAGAAAGGUAAUAGCUGAAUCAGUUUCUGAUACUAUUUGUUUUCACACUAAAGCUGUUUUGAGGUUGAUGAGUUUCUUGUGUGGGAUUGUAACCUGGCGGUACACAAAUGCGUGUGGAUGGUUUCUAUUGCUCUCUGUUUUCUUACUGAGUUGUGAUGCCUUAUAUGUCCUCAAUAUGAGCAUUUGAGCUGUUGACAUCAUUGCUUAAAUCUUUUAGUCCCUUACUUACCCAGAUGAUUUUCAUUUUUGGGUUUUCUUGUUGCUUGUAGGAGUUGACAAGUUCUGUAAUUAUUUUCUGAAAUAUACUCCAUUCUCUACUUUUUCUAUCCAUAAGCUAUAUUACUCCAUCAUGCUAUAACAUGUAUACCUUCAUUAUAUGUCAUUAUAUUUAUUCUUAAAAGCUUUUCUAGAAAUUUGUACUUCACAUGUCAACAUUCUCCGCCUUCAGGUUGCUGAAAAGACAGCUCUUUUACGACCUAUAGAAUUAAAGCUGGUGCCUGCGUCCUUGGAAGGUGGUGCUUUUAGGAGCAAGUUUCUUGAUACAGAUGAACUUAUGAGCUACUGUAGUUGGUUUGUGGUAAGAAACAAUUGAUACAGUUGUCUCAUUGUCUUUGAAAGAAUCCAUUUCAUUUUUGUAUCCAUUUUGAGUGUGUCCUUAUUGCUUUUGCAGACUUUCAGCACUGUCAUUCCUGAAGGGAUGCGGAAAACCAAAAUCGUGAAGAAGCUAAGUAAAAUGCUGGUGAAUCAUCUAGGGCUAACGUUGACUAAAGAAGAUCUGCAGAGUGUGGUUGAUCUGAUGGAGCCAUAUGGUCAGAUAACCAAUGGAAUAGAACUUCUAAACCCUCCUCUUGAGGUAACUAGUUAUUACUGCAAGUGUUCUAUUAAUUAGUUCAAGAUACUUUCUUUUCAUCAAUUAGCUGUGAAUAGCUUGAGGACAUACUACUGUACUUUUCUUUCUUAAAACUUUUCACUGCUUUAAAUAAUUUCUUCUACUCGAUUGUCAUGGCACAGAGAAAGAAAUUAGAUGUUUGAAUUUGAAUAUACUAACAGUUUGUGGGCUGAAGUGGUUAUAUUACUUAGUUAACUUUGGCGGUUCCUUCCCUGACUUCCUUUGUUUAAUUGUUGCAACUUUGUAGUUAUCCUAGGUCAGGUUGUGCUUUGUAAAUCGAAAGUAGUAAGAAUAAUCUUGGAUUCAAGUCCUAAUGAUGUAUUUGUACAUCAAGAGUUUUCUAGUUUUCAUUGGGAAAAAAAAUUGUGAUUUCUAUUCAUUGUUUAUCUUUAUUAUUGUUAAACUUAAAAUACAUGUAAGUUUUCAGUUUUAUUUACUUCAGAAUUUUACAUGCGUACAAUCAUGAUGGAACCGUAGUUUCCUUUUGUUUCAAGAGUGAUUUAAUAUAAGUUCAUUAAUUCUCCAGUGGACAAUGGAUACCAAGUUCCCACAUGCUGUUUGGGCUGCAGGUCGAGGUCUCAUUGCCCUUCUAUUGCCAAACUUUGAUGUUGUAGAUAAUAUAUGGCUGGAGCCAUUGUCUUGGCAGGUUUGUCCUCUAUGUCAUUAUGUAUUUAGAUCUCUAAAGGUUAAAAACUAUAAAACGUGUUCGAUUUAUAAGUUUUGUGGGCAGAUAAUGUUUUGUGGGCAGAUAAUGUUGACAAUAAUUAUUUAUGAAACAUAACCUGGGAAAACACUGGAGAAGUUUAAGCCUCUUUUUACAGGGAAUCGGAUGUACAAAAAUAACCAAGGUGAGAAAUGAAGGAUCCGUGAAUGCGAAUUCUGAAUCAAGAUCUUAUCUUGAAAAGAAGCUUGUAUUUUGUUUCGGUUCACAUGUUGCAGCACAAAUGCUACUACCUUUUGGGGAAGAGAACUUUCUUUCUUCUUCAGAGUUAACGCAGUCACAGGAGGUUGAUUCUUUUCUAUGCUUGAUCUUUAUCUAUAAGAAGCAAAAAAUAUCCUGAGGAUAUGCAAUCAUAACUGCUUUUCUGUUUUCCCCCUCCCAUUUUUGCAACAGAUUGCUACACGGAUGGUCAUUCAGUAUGGUUGGGGGCCUGAUGAUAGUCCUGCAAUUUAUUAUCACACUAAUGCGGUAUUCUUCUGUCUUUACAUUCAAAAUUUGGUCAUGUGAUAAAGAAAUAGAUAUUUCUCAUGUGUCGUCCAGUACUGUGUACAUUAUUUCUUAUCCUUUUAUGAUAAUGGAGGGCUACCAUCCUGCAUAGGUAUGUUUGUUAGUUCUGAACUUCGGAAAUUGUUUUUGCUGUCAGAGCUAGCUCUGCUGCUGUUCUACUCUUCUGCCUUGUGCAGUUUGGUUGAUAAAUCUUGUUUAUUCAUCUAAAAAUGUAUUUCUUUUAGCUUGCAUUUCUUAUAAAAGAACUGUUUUUUUCAUUUAAAAUACAUUCAAUUGUAAUACUUGGGGAAGUUAUUGGUUAUGGACGUGGGACAGUUCCUUGCCAAUCUUGUUAGAAUGAGGUAGCAAGCAGCAAUGUUUUCUUUGCACUUCCAAAUAUGUAUCAAAUUUCACCCCUAGUUGUUUCUAUCUGGUUUAAGGGUUCAAUAGGCUUCUUGUUUAGUGAUAGAUUGCACGUUCUCAUUGGCACAGGCUACUGCUUUAAGCAUGGGGAAUAACCAUGAGUAUGACGUGGCAGCUAAAGUUGAAAAGGUAUGAAGGACUAUUACUCUUAUUUCUUACUAAUCAAUUAGUGAAAUAUUGGUUGAUGCAGCUUAUCUAAUAGUGUCUUCAUAUCCCACAGAUAUAUGAUUUAGCAUAUUAUAAAGCGCAAGAAAUGCUCCACAAAAAUCGUCGAGUUCUUGAAAAGAUAGUUGAGGAGUUACUGGAAUUUGAAAUCUUGACUGCAAAGGUAAAAAAAUCUUGAUUUUGAAUUGGCACAUCUCUUAUUUUGACUGGUACCUUUACACGUCCUCUUUUAUCCAAUAACUUUAAUCUCCAUCUAUCCAUGUUGAUUGACUUAGUUGUCUGAUAUCGGCAAACUACAAACGACAUUUAUUUAUUAUUUAAUAUUGAGAUCCACUCUUCUUGGUGUUGGCAGGAUUUGCAAAGAAUUUUUGAAGACAAUGGUGGUGUUCGGGAAAAAGAGCCCUUUUUUCUUUCUGGAUCUCAUGAUAGAGAGGUAUUUUUAUCUGUCAGUACUGAGUGAACUAUAUGCUGUUAUUGGUGCCAAAAUUUGAAUUUCCUUUUUGCUUAUUGUAUGAAGUUUUAUCUGUCAAUUUUGUAGUUAGAAGUAGCCCUACUAUCAUUAAUUAGAAGAAGAAAGUAUUUCUACAAAACUACCUCUGAGCAAUAAAUUCAUUUCAUCUGUAACCUAUACACUUCUCAUUAUAUACUUAUGAACUGGGUAUCUCUCUCUCUCUCUCUCUCAUUUUUUUCCCUUAUCUUCCUUUUUUCCAGCUACAAUCCGGCAGCUUUCUUGAAGGUGGGAAUGUAUCAGGAACUGCUCUUUUAAGUGGAGCAGCAUAGAUUUCCGAGGAAUAGACAGUUGUAGAACCAAUACAAAUUUUUUGGCUCUGAGGUAAAAGCCCUCCUAUUCACAAUGAGAUUCAAUGUUUGUUUGUAGUGCAAUAUGGUCUUCCUUGUCCUCAUGUCACAUGGUUUUUGUUUUUUAGUUUUUUGGCAUAAGAGAUGUAAGCCAGUUAUAGAGGAAAUAGUUGUGGCUUGAGAAGAGGCAACAUUUUUCCUUCUCAACCACCAUUUUUCAUUAUACUGUGAUUGGAAAUCCUCAUUGUAUUUCCUUUUGUCAACGUUGUAAUUAAAAUUGUUAAUAGAAUGAUUCAUUUUGAAAGCAUUCCUUCUGUUUACUACCAGUGUUCGAAAAAUUGGCCUAGGCGGCCGCCCAUAUACUAAAACAUAACCUAAUUGUGUUUUUAUUUCAACCCUCUGCUUUAUAUCAAGUCAUAUAUCUUAUGACACACAUAUACAUUUUAAAAAAAUUAAUUUUGUUAAAAAUUAAUAAUACAAAAUAUUUUUUAUUUUAUUUUAAGAAACCCUAGGCACUAGGCACUAGGCCCCUGCCUGCCCGCCUACUGGCUAGCGAUUUUUCGAACAUUGUUUACUACUAUUACCUUGAUAGUAUUUGUGUACUAUUUUAGCCUAAAUGCCUAUAGUACAAUAUAUUCGUAGAAAAGAGAACAUUUCUUGGCGGGGUAAAAAGAAUUUUCAAUUUAAAUUAAUGUAAGUUUUUUUUUAAUGAACAUUCAAUGGCAUAUCCUGCUAUGAAUGCGUGGUAUAAAUUUAAGUACAAAGAAAAGAGAAAAUGCAUUUACAUGAAGAAAAUGAUACUUGUAGAAAAAACCAGGAGAACAAAUUCCUACAGAAGCCCCAUGACCGGUGAGGUGCUAAAGAUAGGCUUCUCUUUGCCAGUUUUCUGGCCCCUGCUCUCACAAAUGCUUUUCCUCCUUGGUUUUGCCUCUCCAAGCAUUGUUAUGAUAUCUCUCAUGGAUGGCCUGUCUUUGGGGAGCUUUGCAGUACAAAGAAGUGCGAUUCGGAGGACGAGAAGCAUUUCUUCCUGGACAUGCUUGCAUUGACCAGCUAUGCUAGCAUCCAGUGCUUCUUCCAAGGCUUUCUUGUUUCUCAUCUUCCUUCGAACCCAUUCCACGAUAUCCACAGCUUCCCCGAAUGUAGGGUCUAAAGGCAUCUUUCCAGUUAUAAGCUCUAAAAGAACUACACCAUAGCUAUAGAUGUCAGUCUUCUCAUCAACCUUUAAGGCGUAUCCAUAUUCUGCCACAUAACAAUAGAAGUUAGAAUUAAUAGGGCUAACUAGUUUCGAUAGUAUGGUUUCUGUUUGAGUAAUUAAAAAAGGUUCUUGGUAACUAACUUACCAGGAGCAAUAUAUCCGUAAGACCCAGCCACCAUUGAAACCGUCUCAUUCUUGUGCAUCAUCAUCCUCGCUAACCCGAAAUCUGCUACUCUGGCGUCAAGGUUUGUAUCCAACAGAAUGUUGUUCGAUUUGAUAUCUCGGUGGACGACUGGUGGCUGACAGUCAUGGUGGAGAUAAUUCAAACCUUGUGCAACACCCACUGCUAUAUUGUAUCUUGAAACCCAGUCUACCAACAACUUUCCUGCUUGUUUUCCAUGCAAUGCAGUCCCAAGGUUCCCAUUUGGCAUGAAAUCAUAUAUCAUCACCACAUCGGUUUCGUUGUGAAGGUACCCUAGUAACCGUACGAUGUUCCUGUGCCGGAGCCUGCCCAAGAGAUUCACUUCACCAAAUAGAUCAUCCCCAUUUUCAAUGUCUGUCCCUGGCCUCCAUAGCUUCUUAACUGCCACAACUGAAUGUGGCCGAUGGAUUUCAGCCUUAUAAACCACCCCACUCCCGCCCAUGCCAAUGAUAUUUGAUUCUUGUAUGCAAGCAAGAAUGUCAGCACUUGUGAAGUUAAUUCUCUGAAAUGCUACUAGCCUCCAAGGCCAUUCUUGAUUGGUAGUCUUAAACCAGUUGUUAAAGCUGUUAUACGAGUACCACUUCCUAUAUACCCAUCUCCCAGCGAAAAAUGCAACGCCAAGACAUGAAAUUACUGAGAUUCCAAUGAUGAAUCCAGUGAUGAUGUGCUUGAUGUGCAUGUUUCGAUGCGGACCUGCUGUUGCAGCUAAGCUUUGAGGGCAUGGUGGAAGUAUGCCUCCACAAAGACCAGCAUUGCCUAUGAGAUCGUUAGGAUUGAUGGUCAUUAACAUACCAUAUGCUGGUACUGGACCCUCAAGUCUGUUGUAAGACAAGUUAAGCAUCUCCAAGGCUGGUGAACUUCCAAAGCUUUCAGGGAUUUUACCAACCAAAGAAUUGUUGGACAGAUCAAGAAUGGAUAAUGUACGCAUUGUUGCUAUCGGUCUAGGGAUUUCCCCAUUGAACUGGUUAUUUCUAAGGUUCAGAUUUACCAGCUUCUCACAAGAAGCUAUGCUCUCUGGAAUUUUUCCAGAGAUGUGGUUGUUUGAAAUAUCGAGCACUGACAGCGACGGGCAAUCUUGGAACUGGUCUGGGAGUUUGCCUUCCAACUUGUUAUUGGAAGCCAUGAAAGUUUGAAGAUUUGGAAGGGAAAGAAUGCUAGAAGGAAGAGAUGAUUCAAGGUGGUUCCAAGAGACAUCAAUGAAGGAAAGAGAUGCAGACAAAGCAAUGUCCACAGGAAUUUGACCAGUAAGAUUGUUUUUAGCCAAUUCUAGCCUUUGAAGAAUAGGAAGAUUUCCCAGACCAACUGGCAUGGUUCCUGAAAUAAGAUUGUUUUGCAUACGAACACGAACCAGUGAUAAACAAGUUGAAAGACCUACUGGAAUUGGACCAGAAAAGGAAUUGUUGAAGAGGAUGAGUUUUGUGAGAUUGCCAGAACUACACAAACCUGGUGGGAUAUCACCUGAUAAUGAAUUUGAUGACACAUCUAACCACUGCAAUGGGGAAUUCUUUCCAAGGUUCACUGGCAAAGGACCUGUCAAAGAAUUCUUCCAUAGCUCAAGUACCUCUAAGUUGGGUAACUCGCCAAGCUUGUUAGGAACUGAACCAGUUAGUCUAUUGCACAUUAAGUUCAAAAGCUGCAAAUUCAUCAACUGUGCAAGCUCUGCUGGAAUCUCUCCUGAAAUCUGAUUAUCAGAGAGAUCCAAAAACACCAGUGAUGUAAUGUUACCAAAGUCUGGUGGAAUUUUUCCUGUAAAAUUGUUUUUGUACAAAUAAACUGUUGUAAGUUUUUGUAGCCUACCCAAUUCAGGUGGGAUUUGACCACUGAGAUUGCCAACUGCCAAGUCAAGAUACUGAAGAUUGGUAAGAUUGCCAAACUCUGCUGGGAUUUCACCUUCAAACGCAUUGUAUCCAAGAACAAUAGUCUCUAAAGAGGAAAGCUGGCCAAGUUCUCUUGGAAGGUUUCCAGUGAGAUUGUUGCCAGAGAGGCCAAGAAACUUUAGCUUCUGCAGCUUCUUGUAAGAUGCAGGGAUUGAACCUUCGAAGAAGCUCCCUCUGAAAUCUAGGCUUUCAAGGGACGUGGCAUCUCCAAGAUCCUCUGGGAGAAAGCCUGAGAAGUUAUUGCUUGAUGCAUUAACUGAAGUCAGUCCUGAAGCCCUUCCAAGACCAGUUGGAAAAUCACCAACAAAGUAGUUUUGACUCACAUCAAUGGUAUUCAGUGAGGUAAGACCAGAUAGCGAUUUUGGCAACGAUGAUGCAAAACCAUUACAAGAAAUGUUGAGAGUAGAAAGACUGUGUAAGCCUUGAAUGUGAUCGGAUACAUGGCCGCUGAGGUUCAUGUUGGAGAUGUCCAGCUUCUCUAUAAAGCCUCUGGAGUUGCACAUAACUCCAGUCCAGUUACAAUGGGGUGAACCUUCCUGAACCACAUUGCUUGGAAUUUUCCAAUCUUUGAGGCCAUCCAUUGGAUCAAGAAGACUAGCUUUGAUUGAUAGUAAGGUGGAUAAUUCCUCAUUCGGCACGGUUUGAGCUCCCUGAGCCUGAGCAAAAACAAGAGAGAGGCCAGUGAAACAGUAGAAGAACAUCAAAAGGGUUGACAUGUUUGUUGUUCUUCUACCUGGUAUGUUCCUAUCCUAGCUCUUAACAGAAUGGUGGCAUUUUCUGGGCUUUUGGAACAAAGGGAGGAAGAAAGUGUCAAAGACACAAGAGAAGAGAGAGAGAGAGAGAUUGAGAGAUUGAUUAAAUGGGUUCAGUUUUGAUAAGUAAUAAUGACAGAUUGGGAUUAAGUUAUUGUGAAUACGUGGGUUCUUGGGAUCAGUGGGUAGCAGCUAAUCUAAUUAUAUGAAUCCUAAUGACUGUCAAGGUUUGGAGUUAUUGGAAAUCUCUGAGACAGCAAAACAUGGAGAGAAUGUGUUUCCAGGGACUGAUGAUAAAUACUUGCAUAUUCUUAUAAUUGAUCAUAGUCAACUCAGACUGGUAUUAACUAAUAAUGGUACUUGGUUUCCUCCUUUUUUCUUGUAAUUUAUUUUGAAAAACUGUACUUUCAUCUUCUGUUUAAUGUCCCAAGAGAAUUAGCUCCUCAGCAGCUUAUUAAUUACUUGGGAAAACACUGACAUGCAUAUGCUUUUGUAGUUAUUUUAAUAAAAUAACUCCCAUUUCUGGUUUGUCAAGGCUGGUUGUGCAUUUAACUUAUAAGCAGUGAAUCAAUCAAGGAUUGAAUUAAUAUGCUUUUUGGGUACUGGUCCUGGACAUGGUUAAUUUGGGCAGAUGAGAAUCUCUCCAGGUUAUAACUUAUAAGAUGUGGAAAAACAGUACAUGAUAGACAACUUGGAACUUUCUCUCAGAGAGAGAGAGAGAGAGAGAGAGAGAGAGAGAGAGAGAGAGAGGAGAUAGAUGGUGGGUCUCCAUGAAAAAGGAAAGAAAUGUUUUCUUACAAUUCAUUUUCCUAACUAGGUCACCAAAUACCAGUCCCUCCCAUAAAACAAUGUCUGAAGCCUCCACAACUUCACAUGCACUGAUCUGGCUCUUUUGCAAUAAUUUAUAUAUGAAUCAAAAAAUAAUGCAAUGUAAAUGUACAGAUAAACAAAUGAAUAUUUGCAAAUGCGUUUAAAUGGAAAAUUAUUAGACAAUAAUUGAAUUGAAAGCAUAAAAAAGAUGGAAAAGCCAGGAGGGAGGCCAUGUGAAAAGGGCAGCUUCCUUGGGAAAGGACUGAAAAUUCUUAUUAUUAUUUGCAAUGCCAUGGGAAUUAGGACAAACUGCCACUAAACAAAUAUGUAUAUGGGCCUUUUACUUUCCAAAAAUAUGUAGAUAAUGGAUGGAUAUGGAUCUUUUGUUGUGUAUCCAUUUCAGAAUCAAUGAGGGGGUGCAUGAUUAGUUAGGUGCCCCCACAUGCCUACCCCAAAAAACAAAGCCAGUGAAGGCCGCCACCACCACCACCAUUAAUCAUUCAUCCAUUCAUUGAUUUUAUCAAAUCCAUUACACACACAAAAUAUCAAAGAUGGAAUCAAUCAAAUUCAUUUGUGGGCACCAUAUGACAAAAUAAUUUUUUUUUAAUACAAAUAAUAGUCUAACUUAUUCUAAAAUAAGCUAAUAUAAAAAGAGGAAGAUUCAAACUUAAAUGCAAAGAGGUAGGCUCACUGUCCUGAUGAACUAGCCUAAUCGGUUUUUUAUGAUUGAGGAGUUUGGGCCAAGUGGGUGUUGGAGCCUGCUUCUCUUGGGUUUGAGCUUGUAAAGGUCCAGGAAAAAUCAGGUACUGUGUGGACAGACCUAACAGACUUCUACUAUGGUAGUGGGCCAGGGUAAAGUUCACGAAGCCCAUUAUGGGAAUUAGAGUCCGUACUAUGUGGACCGACCCAACUGCACUCUCUCUCUCUCUCUCUCUCUCUCUCUCUCUCUCUCUCUCUCUCUAGACGUGAAAGUGAGCUAACCUAAGCAGACUACUUCAGCACCGAUGGACUUCGUUUAGGUGAAAAACAACACGUGGUUUAUCUACCACUCGAACCAUUUUGUCCCGUAUAUCUUGACCAAAAACACAAAAGUAAAGGGUUUGAAAUCAAAAUCCUCCCGAGUAAUUAAUUUAUGUGCUUUCUUUUGGCAGUUAGUUGAAACCUGUUGGGUGAUAACCAUGAAUACAGAGAGCCUUGAUGAGGAGGAGGAGAUGUUGGAAGUAUAAGAUUGUCCUCAUUUGCAUGCAAUCCUUAAUGUGCUUUUCGCAAACAAGAUUAUCAAAUUAUUAGUUGCUUAGUUUGAAUUAUACGUAUUAAAUUCCAUAAUCAUCCCCAAUCCUUGGAACUGAGUCCCCAAAGAAAGGAAGAUAUCAAAACUAGAAACAACCUUGUAAACCAACCGUAUCUUGUCUACACUAUAUUGUGAGUAUAUAUAUUAAGCGCCACAGAUGAGUUCACAUUUUAUGGAGUAUAUAAUAUCAGACUUGUAAUUCAAUUGAAUUGAAUGUAACCAAUUAAUGCAGCAAAGUUGAAAUUUUAUUUAUUUAUUUUUAAUAUAAGUGAUAUUUUAUUUUAAUCUAAUCGGACUCGUUUGGGAGUGGAGGGGGAUUCAAACUCGGGUAUGCCGAAAAUUAUUAUUUAUAUAUAGCAUUAAUCUAACCUGGGUUUUAUAGAAGCAAGCAAAUCAUUCAAAAUACGAAUCGAUGACCACUAGUAAAAGAAAAAAGAAAUUAUUACACUGGAAAAGCUAACAACAAAUUACAACUCAAAGUUAUUAAUACGGUCUAAUUCAUAGUUCCACUAAAUGAAAUUAAUAACAAGAUAUAAAGUCGGAGUUUCGAUCCCCAUAUGGGGGGAGGGAAGAACAGCACAGCAGAAGAAAGAAACAAUUAAGAAGCGAACAAGUAAAGUAAAAGUAAACAUGAGCCAAGAACCAGACUUGCCGGGUUACAUCUUUUUCUUCAACCCCUUUUGCUUUGGUUGCCUCCUUGUAUUUAUUGCUAAUUGAGAGCAGUAGAACUCAUCUGAAAGCCGUACGUCUAACCAUUCUUAAUUCCAUUUCCAUGGAAGCUGAUGAUGAAGAUCAGCCUCUCUGGACAUGCAUGGCUCUUCCACAGCCACGGCUUCUGUUGAAUUCUUGUGCUCAUCGAUCUCUCUAAGUGGCAUGAUCAUGAUCUUCUUCCUGUGCUUUUGCUUCAACAAACCAAAAUUUAAAUUAUUGCUACUUUCUAUUUCUUGUGGACUUGUUGGUAUAUAUACAGAAUACAUAUAGAGAGAGAGAGAGAGAGAAUUUAGGAUAAAAAUAAAAUAGCAUAUCACUUAUAAAUAAUAUUGUAUAUAUAAAUAAACUACAAAUCUGAUAGAUGAAGACCUACAAAACUCUUAUUGGUAAAAUCGUACAGGAGAUAUGUCCCAUCCCAUAGGCAGAGAAGCUUUUAAAUUAGACUGUGAAUCUUAGCUGAACCAACUUAUGUGGGGUCCAUUCAUGAGAAAGCUUCAUUUCCUCUAAGCCCUCCAUCUGUGUGUAUUCUUUCUAAAUUUAUAAUGAGUUGGUUGGUGCAUUUGUUGGGUGCCCAAUUCACCACCAUUCAGCAAAAAAAUAUAGGCCCCAACAAUUUUUCUCUUUAAAUAUCAUUAUGGCAAUACAAUCUCUACCUUUUUCUUGUUCAUUCUUAUUUAACAACAACGAUAUCAUAAUGCUAAUGACCACUACUAAGAGUCAUGAAUAUCCCAAGAAUCUAUGCCACCAAUAAUCUUUGAAACAAAAGUUUGACCUUUGUCCUUGCUGUCUCUCAAUAGGAACUUAUAUAUCAUAGUGCUCUCUUUUAGUCUUUGAUCGAGUGGUGGGCAUCAAUGAGGGGGUGCUCUCUUUUAGCAUUCUUGAAAGAGGAGGAUGACCCCCCAAUCUUUUGACCCUUUGAUCUCAAAGUUUUUCAUGAACAGGGUUUCUUUUUUUUAAAUAAUUUUAUUUGCCUUUUGAUGAAUGAUCUUUGGAUUCAUUGAAGAGUGUGGAAAAGUAAAAGUGUUGGCCCUUUCUUUUCCUGAAUAGUAAAGUUAACUUGUAGACUAAGGUUACAAAUCAUGUAUAAAAUCAUGAUAGUUACAGUGGUCACUACAUGGGCCAAUCUCCCCACAAAUAUAUAAUAAUUUUGUCACGAAUUGUUGAAGUUAUGUGUAUAUAUUAAUCAGAGCGACAAAUAAGCAAAGGGUUUGCAUUACCCUUUCUAACCAUUGAAGAGUGAUAUUGAUUUUUUUAAUAUAAAUAAUAGUCUAAACUACAAUGGGAGAUCGGGAGGCUUUGUACACAUAUUACCAAAGUGUCAUGAGAGUUCGAAUCUGAGACCACUGAUCUAUUCCACUAGGCUAGAUUCCGUCGGUGAGUGAUUUUGAUUUUUGAAUGGCUGAAAAAUGUUUGAUUGGGUCACCAAAAUAGCAAGAAUUUUUAAGGACAAAUAAUGUUAGAAACUAAGUAUUCCAGAGAGACUGCGAAAGGGACAAAUUUUCUGCAUUCGGAUUGUAAAAAAAACUUUAUUUAAGAUUAUUGUCACAUAAUGAUCGGUUGAAGAUGCUGAAAAACAAAUUAAGAAGUGAAAAUGGAGACAAAUAAUAAUUGCUUGAACACGUAUGAUAUUUCUGUCGUUUAUGCAUAACAAAUAUGUAAAGGUUAAAAGUGAGUAAGAUUGAUUCGAUUUGUCUUAAUCUUACCGCCCCAAGCUAAUUAAAUAAUAAUUUGUAAUUAAUUUCACCUUGCCGAAAGUCAUGUAUACGAUGCUCAGAUUCCUUCAUGAGUAAUGCUACAUUUAUCAUAUUUUUAUCCCAUAUUUCUAUAUCACAUGAUGUGGCAUGUCUAUGUUAUAUGUCACAUCAAUUUGUGUAUUUUAAUUAAGACAAUUAGAAAAACAAAUACUGGAAUAAAUUAAAAGGAAAAGAAAAUAUUAAAUAAUUUUAAUUGAUGUGGAAGUCCGCCUCAGCUGCCACAUAAGAUGAUAUAAGAAUGUGGUAUAUAAAUAUGGUAAUAUUAUUGGCUAAUGAGGUAAUAUUAUUUGUGCUAUAUUCAAAGUGUUUAUUGCUCAAUGUUGCAUGUACUUGUAUAUAUUCCACUAACUAGGGGUUGUCUGCUUUUCUAUGCAGUGCUGGCUUCUCUAGUGGCUUUGCCGGCGACCGACCUUUAGACUAAAAAUUAUGUGAGAGCAUAAUAUAAGUAAGUCUCACUUCUAUUAUAAAACGGAUAUAUAAUAUAAUAUAAUAUAAAAGAUAGUUUAAAUUAUAUUGAAUGUAGAUUUCUUACAUACAUACUGUAAGUCAAGAGUCAAAAGAUUAGAGAGUUUAUAAUGUGAGAUUUGACUAAAGUUUCAAAAGGCAUUAUAACCAAUAAGUCUAUAUUAUAUAUUAUGAUCUUUCAACAUAUCCAAAGCAGAUAGUGAAGAGUGAGCAAUUUCACAGUAAAUCAAUCUAAGAGUUUAAUUUUUUAUUCUUUUUUUUCGUGGGAAUGUUUGACUUUGAUCUAACCCAUUCUCUCGAGUUCUACUAAAUUUUGUUACUGCACACAUUAUCUGUCGUAGAGAAUUGCAUGCUGAAUUGAAGUAGUUUUGGUAAAAAACGUGCAUUUUACCGAGUCUUUAAGAUGUGUUCAGAAAACUAAAGUAUUACUAAAAAAAAUACAUACGUACGUGUAUAAGACUAGUAUUAAACUGAAAAAUUCUAAAUUUUUUAUACGAGUAGUAACUCUGAAAAACUAAAAAAAAAAGGGAAGAAUAGAGACUUAGGUAAUGGGCUAAUAAUAAUGGAAAAUGCUUUAACCUAAUAAACGAAAAGCAGGGGAAAAAAAAUAAUAAUAAAAAAGACCAAGAAUAGCCGUGCGGGUGUACUAUUUAAACAAAUUUCCAGUUAUAGCUAAGGGCUAUACUAUUGAAACUAGCAAAUUGAUAUGUAUAAAGUACAAACUAAUGCAAUUAGGAGGGUCCUUUUUUUGAAUUUUUUUAUUAUUAAAUAGUAUAGCCAUUCGCCUAUACCUUUUGAAUAUAAUGUAUUUAAAUAGUAUAGCCGGACAUUUAUACUACGAUUUUUUUUAAAACUAUUUUUUACACGUGGCGCUAUAGGGUCCUCUUUUUUAAAAAUAGUACAGCCGCACGGCUAUACUCCGUGUUAUAUAUAUAUAUAUAUAUUGGGAUCCUUUUUUUCUUUUAAUUUUUUUUCCCAAUUUUCGUUAAUCGAUAAGAGUAGUUAUCCAUUACUAUUAGGCCAUUACCCGAGUCUCUUGUCCCCUUUUAAUUUUUUACUUUUCCAGAGUUAUUAACCGCAUAAAGAAUUUAGCACUUUCACGUUUAAUACUAUAUUAUACACAUACGUAAGUGUUUUUCAACAAUACAUUCAUGUUCUAUACACGUCUCACAUUUUUAAAAAAGAAAAUGUGGAAUAGUCAUAUUGUACAUGUACAUACGUAUUUCUAAUGUUUAAUGCAUGUAUUUUUUAUAAAAUUUGUUGUAAGACACAUAAAUUCACGUUUUAUACAAAUAAUUCUCACAUAUUAUUGAAUAAGAAUAAUAUACGUUAUAAAAAAAAACUAUUACAAUAUUAUAUAGUGGCCAAUUAAUAUCUACUUUGAAUAUGUUGAAACUAGCAAAUUAAUAUGUAUAAAGUACAAACUAAUGUAAUUAGGAGGGUCUCUUUUUCUUUAAUUUAUUAAAAAUUAAAUAGUAUAGCCGGGCGGCUAUACUAUGAUUAAAAAAAAAACUGAUUUUGACACGUGGCGUUUAUUGUUGACACGCUAGGGUCAUAUUUUUUUAUAAAAAUAGUACCGCCGUACGGCUAUACUCAGUGUUUAAAAAAAAAAAAAAAAAGACUAGUUUUGACACGUGGCGGCUAAUCGGUGGGAGGCUUUUUUUUAAUUAAAAAUAGUAUAGCCGCACGGCUAUACCAUUUUAGACGUGGGUGGCAAAGGUCUGUGCGUCUGUUCUUUUUUUAUUUUUAUAUAUAUUGUAAAUAGUAUAGCCGUCUGGCUAUAUUCGAUUUUUAAAAAUGUUUUCAAAAAAAUAGUAUAGCCAGGUGGAUUUACUGGUUUUUUUUAUUUUAUAAAUUUUAAAUUGUCUUCAAUAAAUAGUGUAGACGAGUGGCUAUAGUCUUAUAUAUAUAUAUAUAUAUAUAUAUAUAUAUAUUGGGAUCCUUUUUUUCUUUUAAUUUUUUUCCCUGAUUUUCGUUAAUCGAUAAGAGUAGUUAUCCAUUACUAUUAGGUCAUUACCCAAGUCUCUAUUGUCCCCUUUUAAUUUUUUUUCUUUUCUAGAGUUAUUACCUGUAUAAAUAAUUUAGUACUCACAUGCCUUUAAGUUCUCAUUCACAGCCACUUCCAGAAUCAUAUCACAGGCUUUUCUGGAAAAUUAACAACAAAGCUGAAAUUUUGGCAUGUUUGCAUCAUAAACUGGCACUUGGACUUGAGAUCAUUGCCUUGUGUUGAAUGCACCAUAAUCAAGUCAUAUUUGAUAUGCCCAGAUUAUAGGGUCGUUGAUUGAUUCCUUGUAUAUAUGUCAUUCAAUUGUUUUAUUUCUUUCCUAGAAUAAGACUCUCUCAGUUUGUAUAAAGCUGUAGCUAUAUUGUAUAUUCACAUAUCAAUCAAAUACAAAGAUCUUCUUUACCAAACUAUUUUCGUCAUUCACCAUUUUUACAUGGUAUCAAAGCACCGAUUUUGGUGACUCUAGAAACCCAAACCCCUUUCGCUACAACACAACACAAUAACCAUUUUAAAAAUAUAAAAUUUGUUUCUUUACUUUUGUUUUUUGGCCUACUUCUUUAAUCACUUUGAUUAGUAAUUAUAUGUUAAUUAUUAUUUAAAAUAAAAAAAUUAAAGAAAAAGUCCACAUAGUAAUUAAUUUCUAUUUAUUAAGUAUUUUGUGAAAUCGUUUGGGUGUCUUAAUUAAAUUUCUCCAUAGCCCAAGAGCCCUAUCCAUUACUAUUAGACCAUUAUUCGAGUAUCUAUUGUCCCUUUUUAAUUUUUUACUUUUUCAGAGUUAUUACCUGUAUAAAGAUUUUAGCACUCUCACUUUCAACAAUGUAUUAUACACAUACGCACGUAUUUAUCAUGUUUAAUAAAUGUAUUUUUUACAAAAACUUUAGUACGACACACAAAAUUUACGUAUUAUACACAUAAUUAUCACAUAUUACUGAAUAAAAAUAAUAUAUAUUGAAAAAGGGUAUAGCCGAACGGCUGUACUCAGUUUUUCCCAAUUCAAAAAAUAGUAUAGCCAGGGCUAUACUCGUUUUUUGAAAAUUUAAAAAAAAAAUUGUAUAGCCGACCGGCUUUACCUGUUUGACACGUGGGGCUUAGGCACUGGGCGAGUCUUUAUAUGUAUAUCUACAUAGAUAAAUAGUAUAGCCGCCCGGCGAUACUAUAUUUUUUUAUUUGUUUUUAAAAAUAGUAUAGCCGUGCGGCUAUACGCAUUUUUCCUUUUUUAUUUAUUUUUAAAAAAUAGACUUUACUAUUUUGACACCUGGCCUACUUCUUUCAUUUACUAUACGUAAUCAAGUAUAUCUUAGGCUUUUUAAAUCACUUUGCUUAGUAAUCAUAUGUUAAUUAUUAUUUAAUAUAAACAAAUUAAAGAAAAAGUCCACAAAGUAAUUAAUUUUAAUUUAUUAAGUAUUUUGUGAAAUCAUUUGGGUGUCUUAAUUAAAUUUCUCCAUAGCCCAAGAGCCAUAUCCAUUACUAUUAGGCCAUUAUUUGAGUAUCUAUUGUCCCUUUUUUAUUUUUUACUUUUUCAGAGUUAUUACUCGUAUAAAGAUUUUAGCACUUUCACGUUCAACAAUGUAUUAUACAUGUACGCACGUAUUUCUCAUUAAUUAACCCUAAACCCUAAAUAGUAUAGCCGUGCGGCUAUAUGUGGUCCUUUUUAUUUUUUUUCCCUUGAAUUUCGUUUAUCGAUAAGAGUAGUUUAAAGCAUUUUUCAUUACUAUUAGGCCAUUACCCAAGUCUAUUAUUCCCUUUUGAUUUUGUAAUUUUCCCGAGUUACUACUCAUUUAAAAAAGUUUAGUAUUUUCUAGUUUAAUACUCGUAUUAUACACAUACGUAUGCAUUUAAAAAAAAUAAUAUUUUCGGUUUUCCUAAAGGCUCGGUAAAAUGCACUUUUUUACCAAGACCAUUCCAACUCAGCAUGCAAUUAUCUACGACAAAUAAUGUGUGCAGUAACAGAAUUUAGUAGCACUUGAGAGAAUGAGGUAAAUCAAAGGCAAACAGUCCCACCAAAAAAAUAAAUAAAAAUUAAACUCUUAGAUGGAUUUACUAUGAAAUUUCUCACUCUUCAUUAUCUGCUUUGGAUAUGUUGAAAGAGCAUAAUAUAACAUAGGCUUAUUAGUUAUAAUACCCCCUAAAACUUUGGUCAAAUCUCACUUCUCAUAGUACUACUGUAUUCAAGUAUAUGGUAUACUUUCCGAAAAAGGACAAAAACAAAUAAUGGGCCUAAAGACUGUAGUGGGCCCGGAUUCCGAACUUGUUUAGUUAAAGGGUAAGUGGGCUUUGAUAAAAAAAAAAUGGAUUGCCAAGUGUCUCCUCGGCCCGGAUCAAACUCCUAUUUCGGCUUGUAGGAUUGAUUUGAAGGAGAAGGGCAAUGCCCUUGAUUGGUUACGACAUGACACUAUAGUAGGCCUCAAUGCAGAGAAUCCGUGUUCUACUCUGAAACAAGUUAGACUAUUCCCGAGCCAGGUCAGAGACGUCAAACACAACGCAUGAAAAUGAAAGCAAGCCCAAAUUCAAAAUCAAACCUCUGUUUUGUGUUGUCAACAAAAUCCCAAUCCCCAACUCUUUGAAUUUCUCGAGAAACCUUCAAGUAAUAAAAUUGAAUGAUUAUAAUGAGACUGAAGGUGUGGUUUGUGUUAAUAGCGCUUGUGCUGGCUGCCACGAUUCGACCAAACGGUGCGUUUGAAUCGUCGUCUUCCCGGCGUCAGACGUCGACGGAGGCUUAUGUCACGCUCUUGUACGGAGAUGAGUUCCUACUGGGUGUUCGAGUCCUCGGCAAUUCGAUACGGGACACUGGAUCCACCAAAGACAUGGUGGCUCUGGUCUCGGACGGCGUCUCCAAUUACGCCAUGAAGCUUCUCGAGGUUAUUACUCUUCUUUUGUUUCUUUAUUUUUGGUACUUGCGCAAAUUGAGCUGUGGAGAAUCCAUUUCUAUCUAAUUAAGGAAAGUGGCUGUGCUUAGGCUUAGUUGAGUUUAUGGACUUUCCUUUUUUUCAGAGCGGCAAGUUAGCUAAUUGAGUAUCAAUCAGGUUUUUGGCAUUAACUGAAUUGUGAAGUGAUUUUAGGAAAAAUAAAGGAUAAAAUUUUCUGCUUGACUUCAUUCUAUUAAAGUUCCAGCUGCGGUAAAUACCCCUAAAUCAGAUUGAUUGUAAGCGUGAUUGUUUUGGUAAAUAUUUGUGCAGGCUGAUGGAUGGAUUGUGGAGAAGAUUAGUUUAUUGGCAAAUCCCAAUCAAGUACGGCCGUCGAGGUUCUGGGGUGUCUACACAAAGCUGAAAAUUUUUAACAUGACUAACUACAAGAAAGGUAAAAAUCUUCAAUUGCUUAUUAUCAGAAGUCCAACAGACCUUGUUACGUUCCAGUAUUUGAUUGUUUUAGGAUCUGUCCCACUUUUUCUCUGAUAGCUGAUUGUGUUUCUUAUCUCCUGUGGAAUAUCAUUAUGCAGUUGUAUAUCUUGAUGCGGAUACUAUUGUUGUCAAAAAUAUCGAGGAUCUUUUCAAAUGCAGCAAAUUCUGUGCUAACUUGAAGCAUUCUGAGAGGCUGAACUCGGGAGUGAUGGUAGUGGAACCAUCUGAAACUGUUUUUAACGAUAUGAUGAGACAAGUUUCCACUUUGCCUUCUUACACUGGAGGUAAAAUAACUCUGCAUGUAAUUUUAAUCACUUCUCACUGCCUGUACGGUCUUUCAACGUAAUUAUUUCUUCAUCUGCAUGUCAGUGAGAUAUGUACUAAUGGGUAUGUUUUAUGUAGACCAUAAUGCUUAUAUGAUAUGGAUAAUUGAUCUGAACAAAUAUUAUUCUGACUGUUGGAGGGAAGUUUAAAUGUUUUGUCAAACCCAAGUGUGAGCUUCCAAGUCAAGCUUAUGGUUAGGACACAGAAUUAGUUAAACUUUAUAGUUAUGGUAUGAUGAUGCCCGAACUGUUACUAUUGUAGACAUUGAAUUCAGAUCAAAUUAAAUUGCAUUGUUGUUGUCAAUGCUCCACUGAUUUCUGAUACUUACAUGUAAGUCUGUCAAAAGGAGUUGCUAGAUAUGAGUUGUAUAAACUUGUUAAAUACUCAAAUACAUGCUUAAAUUACCAUUGUAAAUUUGGUCGUUAUGAUAGGUGUAUUAUAUGUUUCUGAGUUAUGUGGCAUCCUUGGGAGAAAGCAUUGAUCCAUUAUAGUUAUUUCGCUCUCUAAACAUUUAUGUGCUUUAUUUAUUACAGGAGACCAGGGGUUUCUGAAUUCCUAUUAUUCUGACUUUCCCAAUGCCCAUCUUUUUGAGCCAAGUUUACCAGCAGAGGUGCGGAAGUCUAGACCGGCUCCUGCAAUGGAGCGACUUUCCACUUUGUAUAAUGCAGAUGUCGGUCUUUAUAUGCUGGCAAACAAGGUGGGUAUGAAUGGGUGUUUGAAAUGUCUUAUUAACGCUGGUCGACUAGUAUAAAUGCUUUCAAUGGCAUGUAUGAUAUCAGUGCCUGCACAAUCACUCCCAAAUGUAAAGUACCAUAGAAUGAGAUGAUAUUUCUAUUGCAUACACUUAAGGAAUAAGAUUUGGCAUUGGAAAAGCUAGGUUUUCAAUACAAAAGAGUGAGGUUAUCACAUUUUCUUGUAUACGCAGGUGUACAGGUGUACACAAGAGUCUAAAGAUGUAAUAAAAGAAACCUUUUAAUUGGUGUUUGUGAAGCUAAUUGGAUUACAAAACUGCUAAAAAUGUCACAAGUUCUGUUGUGCUACUCAGAACCCAUGUUUAUGGUGCACGAUGGAACUCCAAUUCAAGCUGUAAAGAUGUCUUAUAUCUACAAUUUGGAUUGCUAGUAUUUUCUUUAGUUUGUCCUAUUGAACAAUAAGGUGAUGACCCAUAUGAAGUGGCUAAAUGGGAAUGUACUAUUGAUUUGUAUUUGUUAUGCUUAUUAAGUUGUUUAAUCUGCUUGUGUGUUACACUUUCAGUGGAUGGUAAAUGAAAGUGAACUUCGUGUCAUUCACUAUACACUUGGUCCCCUUAAACCUUGGGAUUGGUGGACAUCUUGGCUUUUGAAACCAGUCGAUGUCUGGCAGGUACUGCUUUGAAUUAUUUUAAAUAUCUAUGUGGUUAUCUGCUUUUUAUAUAUAAAUAUUUAUUGUAACUUUUGCAUUCAGAGAGGAUAUAAUCAAUGACUUUCGUUGAUGCUGCAGAAUGCUAGGGUACAGCUUAAGGAAUCCCUUCCAGGAACUGGAGGAGGCAGAAAUCCAAAUGACGCUCUUCUUGUCAGUUUUCUUUUCCUGCUACCAUUUUGUGCUCUACUCUUUUGUUACUAUCGGUUGUUUCUUCAGGUUAGCAAGUACAUGAUCAUUUUAGCCCAAUUUUGAGAAAUUUUUCAUUAUAUAUUUUAUUAUAUAUUUAUUUUUUCUGAAUAUUGGUGCAGUCACAGGAGUACUUUUGCUCGUUAUGUAGAAGCUCGUUGUAUGACCAAAUCAAACACCUUUACUACAAGAUUAGAUCUACGGUGACACUUAAUUAUACUGUUGUUUCUACAUCGUCCUCCAUUAAUCCCAACCAUCAGGUUAGAUCCCAUGUCUCAGUUGUGUUUGUUGGACUGGUCCAAUUUCCUUUCACUUUCAAGCUUAUCUUAUAUAAAAUAGACUAUCUUCUGCACUUUACAAAGUUACGUGGUCGUUAUAAAGUUUUUGUUUGUACUUAUGCUGUGAAACAAUCCUUUAAUGUGAUGCAGACCAGGGUGCCUGUUUAUUUGGGUGGGAUCUCUAUUGUUGUCUGUUUCAUGGCUGCCCUGGUGGCCCUUGCUCUUGCUUUUGCAAUUGUGCCUCGACAGGUUAUGCCAUGGACUGGUUUACUAAUGAUGUAUGAGUGGACAUUCACAAUCUUCUUUAUAUUAUUUGGAGGUUAUCUCCAUCUAAUUUACCAGUGGGGAAAGGGAACAGCAGUGCAAGCAGGAGCCUUGUCCUCUGUUCCUGAAUCAGUUGAUUAUGAUUCUGGGAAAGGUUAGUUGGCUUGAGUUAAUCCAAUGCUGAUGUACUAAAUUUCAUCGAAUUAGUUCCUUGUUUGUUUUUUUUUUAAUUUUCUAAAUUAGUUGAUGGUUUUUGGAUGUGUUAUAGGUCAUCAACGGCAAGAAUCUUUAUGUGAUAGUGCUACACUGUGUUAUGGGCUAGGAAUGGCUUUUCUGGCUAUUGCUGCUCCAUCUUUGCCAUGUCUUUUUGGGAUAACUGCUCUAUUUUUAAGGUAAUUUGCUCUUGCCUGUGCCACUUUUCCAUCUUAAGGAAAAAUAUGAUUCAAAAGGAGGGCUAAGAACAAUUUAUGUUAUUAUGACAUUUAACAGGCUAGGUUUGAUGGUCGUGGGAGGCCUGGCUUUGGCAUCUUUCAUGACAUAUGCUUCAGAGCACCUUGCAACUAGAUCAUUUUUAAGAGGUUUCGAAGACCGAGAUGGAUCGAGAAGUAGGAGCUUUUGUUUGUUGUGUUGACUGGUGAACAAAAUAGAGUAUGUAACAUGUAACUGUAAGAAGUGUUUGAUCCCUUUUGUUGUAACCUAUUUCGCAAGGAAAGGCCCUACCAUUAGUUUGUAAAGUAUUGCAGAAAGCUUGUUGAUCUAUAAUUGCUUGUUAUCCAAGAAAUUUUGUGACAAUAUUCUUUCAGAAACUAUUAAUCAUAAUCCCGAUUCCCAACAUUAUUGUGUACCAUCGGAUUUUGCAGUCUAAGCGAACAGUGAUAUCAUAACACACUGUUUCUUGUUUUGUGGCAAUAGUAAUUAUUAAUUGUUUAUAGCUGAUAUUCAAAAAAUAAAAAGUUGUUAUCAUCCUAAACAAGUUUAAUUGUUAUUAAUUAUUUUUAUUCACCUGUUGUAGUCUUCCUUGUUCACUAUUUAAAUACUAAUUAUUCACUAAAGAAAUAAUAAUUAAAACAUAAUUACUAAUUAAAGUAAUUACAAAAGUCUAGGAUAUUACUUAAUUAUAAAAAAUAAAAAUAAAAACCAUUUUGUACUGUAUAGCCGAGCGGCUAUACUGUUUAAAUAUUAAUAUAUUUUAAGAGUAAAGCCACGCAGCUACUCUUUAAAAUUUUCGUAUAUAUUUAAAGAAUACAACUAGACGGCUAUACUUCUAAAAUAUUUAAAAGAGUAUAGUCCCAUUAAUAUUUUAAACUUUUAGCUGCUAAUAUAUUUUAAUAGUAUAGUCGCACGACUAUAAUAUUUAUAUAUAUUUAAAAAAUAUACUUUUUAAAUAUUAAUAUAUUUUAAAAGUAUCUUAUGAAAGCUGCAGUCUUAAAACUAGAAAAGCACCCCUAAGAAUGUCUGGAUUGGUUGUGGCAUCAAACAGCACAAAGCAAAUGUUUUCGAAGAAACCAACCGCAUAACCAAUGACAUAUCCAGAAUUUGGAAGCUGAGUAGGUAGAAUUUAUACGUUGUAUGAAUAUGGGUAUACAUUCAUAUAAAAAAUUUUCAAAAACUAGGAUACAUGUAUGGCAUUGAUACGAUGAUUAAAAUAAUAUAAAUAACAAAAUUGAUAUUGCAUCCAUCAUGUUAUAAUCAUCCAACAAAUUAGAAAAUAAAAAUAAAAAUGAAUCAAAUGCAUUUUGAUUAUUUAAAAAAAAAACAAUUAGUACAUGUAAAAACAAUUAGCAUCUAUUGCUAAAAAAAACUAGGCUUUAGUGUACAAGAAAUUGGGUGGCCAACCAAUUUUACCUAGUUCAAAAUAAUUAUAGAGAAUUCAAUACCAUUUAUAUCUAAUUACGUGACUCCUUAACACUUUUAUCCCUCUCUCCUCCCCCCCCUUUUUUUUUCUUCUCUUUUCCUGUCUUGUUGAUUCCCUCUCUCUCUUUUCUAUUUUUUUCUUCUUCCCCUUUCUCUUUUUCCUUGGUCUUUUUGCUUUAUCUACCUAUUUUUAUUUCCUAACAAUUUUCGCGUAGGCAGCUACGUACCCAAAACAUGGCUAGAUCCGCCAGUGUGCAUAACAAACUAACUCAUAUUUGUGGAAGGAUGGGCAAGGGCAUCCUUCUUCAUUAUCUAUUAUAUCUUUAGUUACAGACAACAAAGUAUUUCAAUCAUAUAAGAUAAAGGUGAAAGCAAUCUAAGCAAUAAGGUGGAUUUAUGCAAUCCUUGGGGUGAUGAAAAAACACUAACUUAUUGUUUUCAAAAUUCACCAUUGCAUACUCCAUGGUCAUGCUAAUGUCCAGCAAUAUAGGAAACAACAUCAAGAUAAAUGAUCAAAUAUAUUGAGUAAUCUUUAACACACAUUAGACAAGUUUAAUAAUCAGCAAGUACAGUAUCAAUCUAUUGUAUUUGUCAUGAAAAACAAAAGACUUUAUUAGAACCUUAGAAGUAAAAAUCCUCUGAAAUAUGAGAAGUUUAUGUUUCUCAUAUACGUAACAAGUAGCUCAUCAACUAACUACGCAAAUAGAGCUCAUUUCCUAAGGAGUUUGUGCAAUCACAUGAGUUACAUGAACUUGGGUAUGGGAGUCAGACGAGGAUCAAUGCCCAAGUAUAUCACAGGGUUUGUCUUUCUCCGAAAGUCUUCUAUGCAUCUGCAAUUCCCAGUGCCCCUUAUCACUUACAUGUGUCAUGUCUUAUUGACACAUGUAUAAGCAAUAAGAUGAAAUGAAGAGUCCACGUAACCUUGCAACAUUCAUAUCACUCAUAUUUAAUUAUUUAUUAAAGCAUCACUUACAAAGAACUGCCUCUAAAUUUCUAUAUAAAACCAACAAAGUUUGUUGAAACCGCACCAUCAAUCUAAUUCAAGAAUGCCAUAAUUUGAUGUUAUCCAUUAAGAUAAGGCUGACAUUCUAGCCAGGAUAGAUAAGUGAUGCUCGUGUGUGGGCGUAUAAAGGAAAAGGUAUUGCAGGAGCUAAUCUAGCAUACCUUGGUUGGGACUAGAAAUAGUAGCAUCCGCGUGAAGCGAAAAGCAAAGGUAAAGACCCUCUUCUACACCAUUUAUGUUACCCAUCAUCAUGAAAAGAAUGGCAUAAGUCCAUGGAUAGUAACUCCAUGCAAAGGGAGAUAUUCAGAAGAGUAAGAAAAGAGAGCUAAUGUCGCCAAUGACAUAUUAUGCUUACAUAAUUACAUGAAUCUUUGACGUUUAUGGUGAAGUAUAAAUUUGAAUAUCGGUUACAAACGUUACAUUCAACCAUGUCGUAGUCUUUCUUGUUCACUAUAAUUGACCAAUUAGAUUAACCAAACCAGAUAGUAAAAGCAAUGGCAAAGUAAAUUUAUGUUGAAUAAAUGGGGAUGAUUUUUUCACUGUUCUGCUAUGCGGGUAAAAUAUGCAGAUCAAUUACUUUACUUUACUGUUCUUGAUUGAAUGGCAGAGGAUUUAUUCUUUAACAUAAAAGCGUGCUCGUGUUCACUGUGGUUUAAUGGUUCUCCUCCUCCAUAGCGUCCACUGAUUGAAAACACACUUUUACAGUGAAAAAACCAUAUGAUAUGUUUGUAUUAAUUCAUCGUAUUUGUUGUGUAUGAGUUUGAACUAAUUCAUGGUACUCGUGUUUGAGUUUUGUUGUGUAUGAGUUUGAACUAAUUCAUGGUACUCGUGUUUGAGUUUUCCUCUCCUUUCUUUAAUUUUGAAAAAAAAAAAAAAUUAACAAACCAUAUAAUAUGUUUGUAUUAAUUCAAGAUAUCAUGUGUAUGAGUUUUGAACUACUUCAUGAUAUUCGUGUGCCUGGAUUUUCCUAUCCUCUUCUUAACUUUGGCAGAAAAAAAAAAAAAAAUCCAACUUGGCUGAAUUGAAUAUUAUCCUUGUUAAAGUUGUACGGACGCCCCAACACAAAGUGAUUCUUUUUUUAUUCAUCUUCACCACCCACCCAAAAAAAGGUGCAAUUGUAUAAUAUAAUAUAAUAUUCAAUUAAUUGUUGGCACUUACAGAGUUGAACUAAGAAGGAAAGGAAAGGAAUGCCAAGUCAAAGCUGCGAGAGAGAGAGAGAGAGAGAGAGAGCGAUUUAAUUAUAUAUAUUGAAAAGGAAGGCCAGUUUUCCAUUGGGUGAUGGAAGGAAGCUGCUGUUUGCGACUCUGUCUGUCUUCUCCAAUUUGCUUAUCAGAUUCUGAGUUUUGUUGAAGUGUCAUUCAACUAAUCAUCAACCGCAUAACAUACUAUAUUAUAUAUAUUAUAUGUUUAUUUACUUUAUUUAAUUUUUGAUUAGCUUUGUCACUGAGUCUUUGAUGAGUCACGGACCAAUAGAAAUAUCUAAAUUUGAUUGUCUUCCUUUUUUCUUUUAUAUAUUAUAAAUUGCACGUCAUUUUGGCACUAGGUGACAACACAUGGUGACUAACUCAAAAUUUUAAUAAUGAAAAGGAAAUUGAAAUGAUGGAGGAGGGUGGUAGACUUUAGUGAUCCAUCGUCCUUAUCCCAUACUGUGGUAGAUAUAAUCAACUACAAAAUUAAAACAAUAAAAAAGUAAUUAAAUAAAAAUAAAAAGAUGCAGAAAGAAAGCUACAAAUAUGGCCCCCCACUCCCUCCCUAUGUUCUGGCUUUUAUCAUGUUGGACGAAAAGAUUCCAUCUUCCCAAUGAAGGCUCCAUGGUAUCUAUCUCUCAUAAUAAUUUCUUUUCUUUUCUUUUCUUUUUUUCUGCGCAUUCUGUAGAGGAAGCCGCUCUCUGCAACUUUAUGAUAGAGUCCUGCAGAUGAUUUUCUAAUUAAGUUCAAUACAUUAUCCAAGGUGUUUUCUUCUUUUCCUUUAACUUUUCCCAACUAUCUGGAACCCUGCCAUGCCAAUGUGCCAUGCCAUUUAUACUAAUUUUGCUUCAACAUUUGAUCAUGUAUUGCUGCUAUAGCCCCCACGUCCUUGGCUUUUUCAAGAGCUACUUAGAUCUCAAAUCUUGUUUAUUCUAUCUGCUGUCCUCCCCCUAGACCUAGUCACCUAGAGCUAGACAUACAUGUGCCUGCAAAAGAAGGGGUCACUACUUUCCAGUACAUUAUCUUCUGAUCGAUUCUCUCCCUAGCUAGUCUUCAUUAUAUAUUGUGAAGGAAGGUUUUAUCAUGUUCCUUCCUUGCUAUAAAAUAAAAGCUUCAGUUCUAUAAAAAGCUGCUGCUGCGCAUAAUGUGAAUAUAGAAGAAGAAGAUUUUAGAUAAACUUGAGGUUUAGAGAGCUAAGCGGCUAGGCCCUAUCAUUUCAUUCAUGACCCAAAAUCUUUAAGCAGUGUGUCAUAUUAUAUAUAUGCAUAUAUAUUAUGGCUUCUUGUUGUUUGUUAACCCGGAAGACUCAUAGAAAGAGCUAUAUAUAUGAUAUGAGAGGUUGUUUCAAACGUUGACAUUCAUCGCCAGCUAAUUAAGAAUGCUAAUUGCCAGUUAACUGGGAAGAGGAGUACAUGUGCUCUAAUUAAUUUGAGGUUUAUAUAUACAUAUAGAGGUAUGUUCCCUAACGUGCAAUUAUUCUUUGAAAAGAAUCAGACACGCGGUGACGCGGUAGCUUUUUCAUCCAACCACGUUCCAUUAUCUACCCUGCUCAUGUACGUGAAAAAUACUAAACUAACUUGGAAGAUAAAAGAUUCCAGUUUUGAUGAGUAUAAAGUAUUUGUAUGCCAAGCCAACUUAGUAUAGCACUUCUGCGGUGCGGUGUCAAGUCAACGAUUCAUUGAUCAAUGAGAAACAGAGAAAAACCAGAAAACCAGUUGUGUUAUACAACGACGAUCGAUGUCUCUUACAGUGAAGGAGCACACUAGCAAAUGCAUAAUAAAGAUCAAAACAAGGAAAAAAACAACGGAAAUACAAAGUUACAUCUCUUUCGCUGCUCAACCUGGAGGAGCUAACAUUCCACAGUUUAUUUCAUUUUCCUCCAUUAAUUUCUUGGCAAACAAGCCAAGAAUCAGGAGAAAAGGAGUUGGCAUUCGUCCAAACAGAAAUUAAAAGGAAAAGAAAAAAAGGAACGGAGAAGGUCAAGGAAGAUUAAGGGUUGAUAUAUAAAUAUAUAUAUAUCAUAUGUAUAAGCCAAGAAUCAGACUUGCCUGAGGUUACAUUUCCUCCUUAAGUUCAUCACCUUCUUUACUGCUGUAAAUCAGGCCAUGACUGAAAGUUGAGGACCCUAUAUCCUCCUCCUGGUGAGCUUUUGGACAUGAAAGAAUGAUCUUCUUCUCCUCUUGACAUUCUUCUCAUCCACUUCUGAAGCACCAUCAUCGUCGUCAUCGAUCCUUCCUUGGACAAGUUCAGUGAAACCCUAAUUAUUAUUUCUCUCGCAGAAAAAUCAACUUAAGUUGUAGACGAAGAAGAAAGAGGCAAUAGAAUUUUGGGGUGGUUGGGUAUAUAUAGAUGUCUUAAUAUAUAAGUAGCAAUCGGUUGUGGGAGCGGAUGAAACAAAGGUGAAAGGGAAAUGAAUUAGGCCACGUACGUACAUGGGAGGCCCUACUUCACAUGUCUCUAUGUGUUUUACUGAUAAAAGGAAUAUCCCAUUAAGUAAAAAGGACCCCCCCUCUUAUAAUUUAAAGUUGGAAUCUGAGGUGAGCUAUCCAAUUUGGAUCCACAUAUAUACCUAAAAAUAAAAACAAAAACAAUAUUCGUUUAUUUUGUGCUCAUAGUUGGCCAAAACUUACCCAUUGGAUUGGAC